GCCUCCGCCUGACUCCGCCGCCGCCGCCGCCGAGCUACAACUCCCACUUACCUUCUUAGACAUUGUCUGGAUUCACUUCCAAACCAUGCACUACCUUCUCUUCUACGAAUAUUCUUGCUCCGAAUCUCAUUUCUCUGAAACCCUAAUUCCAAAACUCAAAGAAUCACUCUCCCUCACCCUCAAACACUAUCUCCCACUCGCCGGAAAUCUCCUCUACCCUCUAAACCCUGACCGCCGAAAGCCCCUCAUCCGCUACGUCGCCGGCGACUCCAUCUCCGUGAAAAUCGCCGUCUCCGGCGGCAACUUCGACGAACUCGUCGGGAACCACCCACGCGACGCCGACCAGUUCUACGACUUCGUGCCGGAAAUCCCGCCCGCAACGGAAGAUUCCGAGUACAAAAUAGUCCCUGUAUUUGCUCUUCAAGUGACGCUAUUUCCCGGCCGUGGAAUUUGUAUCGGCUUCUCCAACCUCCACUGCCUCGGCGACGCGAGAUCGAUCGUCGGCUUUGUGCGGGCAUGGGCUUCCAUGUGCAAUCUCGCCGGAGAAUCAGUGUUAUCUCCGCCGAUUUUCGACAGAUCCGUUAUCAACGACCCUCUCAAAAUCGACGAUAUAUUCUGGAAAGCGGUGGGAAAGAUUCCGUUCACACCAUCGUCGUUCCCGAUACCGACGAACAGGGUCAGAGCCACGUUCACUCUCCACCAAUCCGACAUUAAAAAGCUCAAAGAAAUGGUUCUUGCCAAGAAACCGGAUUUAGGCCACGUGUCGUCUUUUGUCGUAACUGCGUCCUACAUUUGGACAACCUUAGUGAAAUCUGCAGAUCAUGUAGAGGAAGAAGAUCAGAACACGCAUGAAUACUUCGUAUUCGCAGUCGACAUUCGCGAGCGGAUAAAUCCAGCAGUGCCCACUAAUUACUUCGGCAAUUGCCUAGGCGCAGGUUUACCAAAAAUCUUUAUUUUAUUUUAUUUUAUUAGUUACUGGUUGACCCGAACCCAUGACCAAAUAGGUCCUAAGUGGGACGUGCUUACCAACAGGCUACCUUGUCUUUGUUUCAGGUACUGCGGAAAUCGAGCAUGGAAAGCUAGUCGGUGAAGAAGGGUUGUCAGUUGCGGCUGAAUACAUGGCUGAGGAUAUCAAGAACAGGAUUAACAACAAAGACGAGGUUUUGAGAGGCGUUGAGAAUUGGAUGGAUGGAAGUAAGAAUCAUAUGUUGGACCGGGCCGUUGGGGUUUCGGGUUCGCCGAGGUUCGAUUUUUGUGAUGCGGAUUUUGGAUGGGGAAGAGCGAGAAAGCUCGAAGUUGUGUCGAUUGAUGGAGAGAGGUGUUCGAUUUCGUUGUGCAAGUCUAAUGAUUCUGAAGGAGGAUUGGAGAUUGGAUUGUCUAUGCCUAAGGAGAGAAUGGAUGCUUUUGCUGCUGUAUUUGCAGAUGGCCUAAAAUCUUGAGUGUUGUAUGAUAUGAUUUAGUAUUUUUAAAUGUGGUUUUAGCAAGGAAUAAAUGUUUUUAUAGCCUUUAUUAUUAAAGUAUAGGUGGGUUAGAAUCGUGUCCCUCUUCUAUUUUCAAUUUGUAAUAGGAUUUGAAUUUCUUAUAAUUCGGAUUUCUCCCAUAAAUUUAGAAUUAUUUAACAUUUUUAUUCAUUGGUGCGCACUUAUGGUAAAUGCCUUUUAACCCAAUUGACCAUUGCUAGAGGUGAAAAUCUGUCGUCCGGCCAACUUUCGGGCAAUCCACGUUGUUUGAUCGAUCUGAUCGGCUCCAAAUUACUGCUUACUCGGGUCCCCCGUGAUUUUUUACAUGUGCUCGAUUUUGAGGGACGUAUAAAAUUCAGUAUUCUAAAAAUCGAUCGAGGCGGCCGAUUAAUCGGUCUCCGCGGCGGAGGCGGUCUAAAACCUUUACGAUCUUGGUGUAACGGUUUAAAAAAUCAAUUUUUUGCCUAUGAUGUGAUUUUUGGCGGUUCGAGGCGGGUUGAGACGGUCAAGUCUUGGAGGCGGGUCAAAAAUUGGUGGUAAAAAUCGGUCAAAAAUCCCUUUUUUUUUUUAAAUAGGGUUCAAAUAAUGAAAUUAAAAUUAAAUCAGGGUUUUAAUUAGUUGGCGUAAUUUUGGUUUCAAAUACGAGAGAGUUUUCCUUAAUAUCAAAUAAGUAUUAGAGGAGAGGAUAUAUUUGCAAAACAAAAAAGUUGAACAUAAUUAUAGACCUAUUUGCCGUAACCGUUUUUUUUUUCCUUAACUCAUUUAAAAAAUGUUUAUAAAUAUCUAAAUUAUUCAAGAAGACUAGCUACCAACAUGGAUUGCAUCCAUCUAAAUGUUAUGAGAUAUGCAUGCAUCCAUAUUUUGAGAGGUUCAAAAUUAUCUAGAUCACAAAGAAAAUUUUAGAGAUAGAUCAAUUCUAGUAGGUCUCUAGAAUUAUUUAUUGAAGCCUAUAAAUAAAAAUAUGUUCAUUGUAAACUCAUCAACUGACUAUGCUUAUUCUCUUUCAAUUUUAAGUGCUAUUCUUUUUUCUCUUUUCUUAUUUUGAAUAUAAUCACACAAAAAUUAGAAUAAAACAUUCAAUAAGAAAAUGUGAUGUUUACUGUAAAAGAAGAAAAGAAAAAACAAUAAGGAAAAGUGUUAAGCACGUAACUAAAAAACAUUAUUCAUAUGUAAAUUCAGUCUUGUAGGACUCUCUUCAAUCUCUCCAUUGCCAUGCUUCUUCACAUGUAAUUUCAGAAGCGUAGGACUCUCCUCAAUCUUUCCAUUGAUGCUUCUGAGUGUACAGUCUAACGUAAAAUAUCACAUUCCAUCUCUUCAAUCUCUUCUCUUCAAUCUUUCCAUUGCCAUGCUUCUUCACAUGUAAUUUCAGAAGUGUAGGACUCUCCUCAAUCUUUCCAUUGAUGCUUCUUCACAUGUAAUUUCAGAAGUGUAGGACUUUCCUCAAUCUUUCCAUUGAUGCUUCUAAGUGUACAGUCUAACGUAAAAUAUCACAUUCCAUAAACCGCUCACCAGCUCAACAGAAAUAAGAAAAAUAACAUCGUUUUUGAAUUAACUGAUCUUUAUUUUAAAUUAUGCGCCUUUCUUUUAGCCUAUGAUUUAUAUACCCGAAUUAAAUUAAAGUUAGUUAAAACUUAGAAAUAAUAAAAGUAAAUAAAUAUUAGCUACAAUAUUCUCGGACCUCUUUUCAAACUUUAUUAUUUACGGUUCCAUUUAUUGAUGUUAUCAAUGCAAAUUUUAAAUAAAUUAUGAUUUUCCAAACCACAUUAAUUUCGUAUUAUUUUUUAUAGAAUUUUGGCAUUAAAUGUGUUUUUAGCGAGGAAUAAAUAUUUUAUAACCCUGUAAUAUUAGAAUACAGGUCAAGGGUUCAAAUGCUGCCUCAUCCCCCUUUUUUUUUUUUUUUUGAGUAAUUCAAGUCAUUACAAGGGGAAGUAGGGGAGGGGGGACUCGAACCCUAGACCUUUUUACCCUAUUGGUAAGGCUAGGUACCAACUCUCCUAAUGAGGGUUGGUUGCUGCCUCAUCCCCUACUUUCACUAUUUGUAACUGGGUUUGAAUUUAAAAAAGAAAAAGAAAAAAAAAUCUUGUCUAAUACAGAUAUUUCCUCUAUAUUUAGAAUUAUUUAACGUUUUUAUUCAUUGGUGUGAACCUAUGUUAAAUGCCUCUUAACCCCAUUGACCCUAUGUUAGAGGUGAAAAUCGAUAGUUUGACCCACUUUUGGGCAAUCCGCGUAUAUGAUUGUUCUGACUAGGGGUGUAAACGAGCCGAGCUCGCCUUAUUUCCCGAGCUCGAGCUCGAGCUCGACGAUCCUAUGAUUUUCAGCUCGAGCUCGAGCUUGUUGUGUUUCUAAGGAGCUCAAGCUCGGCACAACCAAAAUUUCAUUCAAUUAAAAAAGUAAUAUUAUUCUUUUUUAUUUAUUAUUAAGGGGAAAGUACAGUUUGCACCCCUGAACUAUGGGGCUUGUCACAAACACCCCCUUAAACUACAAAACGUACCAAAAUGGUCCCUCCGUUUUCAACCCGUUUGUGUGUGAUGACGUGUCAAGUGACUUUUUUGAUUCUUAAUUAAUUUUGAGUCUGCAGCAUUUUCUUGACGUUUUUACCCCCCUCUCUCUCUCUCUCUCUAUAUAUAUAUAUAUAUAUAUAUAUAUAUAUAUAUAUAUAUAUAUAUAUAUAUAUAUAUAUAUAUAUAUAUAUAUAUAUAUAUAUAUAUAUAUAUAUAUAUAUAUAUAUAUAUAUAUAUAUAUAUAUAUAACUAAUAUCAUUAACAAAUACACUAAACUAAAUUAAAGCAGGAAAUGAAUUUUAAAAAAUCGUAAAAAUUUGCAGAGAAAUAGAAGAAAUUACAAAAAUUGAAUUUUGGGCAUUUAGAAUUCAUUCAAACACAACAACUCUCUGCUUCCAAAUCUUCCUGGCUACCACUGACCUUAAAUUGCUUUUGUAAUUAUGAAUUAAUCCCCAAGUGUUGGGAGAAAUCGUUGACCCCAAAUUGUUGGGUGGUCUAGUCGAUAAAUCCCUUCGUCUUCGUCGGUCCACAGGCACCGAAAAAGCUUGUGGAAUUCGUCGGGUGGGACGCGUUUCUUGGCGACGAUGGGUUUAUGUUGAUCAUUUUCUUAUUGUUGUAGUCUGUUGUGGGGAUCGGAGACGACGGCAGUGACUUGGGCGGCAGAGACAACGGUGACAGCGGCGAGGCAGAAUCGUCUUUUGUUAGAACAUUCUUCAUCAUCUCCAUCGACGAGGUCUUCAUUAUUGAAGAGGCCAUACAUUUAAGUAUUUCUUGAUUUGACACCGAGUUGGGCUAAUUGGUCGGAUUCGAGUGAAGCUCUUCAAAGGGGUGGAAAUAGAGCGAGAGAGAAGGGGGCACCGCCGACAGAAAAUGAAGAAAAAAGAAUAAAAGUGUGAAAGUGAAGAGAGGGGGCGGGCAUCACCUGCAAAUGAAAAGGAAAGAAUAGGAGAGAGAGAAGAGAGAGAAAGAAUAGGAGAGAGAGAAAUAGAGAGAGGAGAGAGAGAAGUGGUUGUUGACUUGGUCCAAUUUAGUAAGCAAAAUUUGAGGGCAAUUAAGUAAAUGUACAAUAAAACUAACGGUGUUAAUUUUGUUAACGUUGACCGUAAAUGACAUGGGUCGUUUUGGUACGUUUCAUAGUUCGGGGGGUGUUUGCGACAAGCCCUAUAGUUCAGGGGUGCAAACUGUACUUUCCCCUUUUAUUAAUAAUAUCCAUUAUUAUAUAUUAUUAAUAAGUAUUAAAAAAUAUAAAAAGGUAAAGCUCGUGAGCUGUCGAACAACCGAAAUGAAGCUCGAGCUCGGCUCGUCGAAAAGCUCGGGCUCGCUAACUCGAGCUUGAGCUCGAUUUUUCGAGCUCAAGUACGAGCUUUUUUCGAGCAAGCUCCAGAAGCUCGCGAGCCGGCUUGACUCAUUUACACCUCUAGUUCUGACCGGCACCAAAUUACUGCUUACUUGGGUCCUACGCGAUUCGUGUAUGUGCUUGAUUUUGAGAGAUGUAAAAAAUUUAGUAUUUUAAAAAUCGGUCGAGGCGACCGAUUAAUCGGUCUUCGAGGCAUAAGCGGUCCAAAAUCUUUACAAUUUUGGUGUAAAGGUUUCAAAAAUCGAUUUUUGUCUGUAAGGCGGUUUUAGGCGGUUCGAGGCAGGUUGAGGCGGUCAAGCCAUGGAGACGGGUCAAACUUUGGGUGUAGAAAUGGUCAAAAAUCGCUUUUUUUUUAAAUAAAAAAAAGUUAGAGUUUAAUAAAAAAUGAAUUUAUGCUUUGUUUUAUUUUGUUAAUCUUAAUUUUUAUUUUUAAUGGAUCUAAUAUAUGCUUGUCAUAUUCAAGCAUAUAUUGGGAUGGACAAGAUUUUCUUUUUAUUUUAUUUUGUAAGGAUUUUAAUUAUAUUAUGAUCUUAUUGUUAUUAAAAUUUUAUUAUAUGAUUAUGAUAUAUAAAUGAUGGCGAUAGAAUCAUGUUUAAAGAUACUUUUAUAUAAGUUUUGAGCAUUAACAAAUAAUAUUUAGAAUUAUAUUACAUUAAAUUAAAAAAAUCGAUUUAUUUUUGAUUUAUCGUCGAUUAACCAUGGCCGCACUGUUAAAUCGUGAGGUGAUAUCUAUCUGACUCGGUCCGAUUCCUACCUUUUACAAACUUAAUAAAAUCUAUGUAAUGAUUAGGAAAAAAACAUAGACAAUAUCUUUAAGGGUGUUGAAAAGAAAAAUAUAAAAAAAAAAUCAUUUGUAACACUUACAUUUCUAACAGAUAAGUUAAAUACCCCUCUAUAGCAUAUAUUUGUAACACUUACCCCAUUUAAGUAUUAUUUGUAACACUUAAUUCCCUCGAACACACUUUAAGUUCUAUUUUAAAUUAUGAACACUUUACAAAUAAGCACAUCUAUGGGUACUUAUUCCUAAAGAGGUCCAGACAAUACAUUAUUUUACAAAAAAGUCCACACAUGGUCUAGAGGUUUGUAAAAGACUAAAAUAGCCUAUUAUAUUUUAAUAAGCUCCAAUUUCAUCCUCUAAUUUAAUCUAACCUCUAUUUGACCCAAAAUUUUACAAAUUAUUCAAUUUUGACCCAAACAAAUUUUUAUGGACAAUUUCAUCUGUCACCGCUGUUAACCGUCGGUCUCCGGCGUUGACUUUUUUUUUUCUUCCUGAUUUUUUCGCCGGUUUCCAAAGUUGACUUUUUCGAAUUUUUUCUUUAACAUCUUUUUGUCCCCGUUUAAACAACAAUAUUGUUGUGAUUGACAAUAAUAAUUACUAUAUUACUGUUAAACACAGUAAAAUUAACUAUACUACAGUUUAAAACAGUAAUAUUGUUAUAUUAAUCUCGAACACAAUAAUAUUAACACAACAAAAGUCAUUUUUUUUUGAAUAAUAUAGUAAUAUUAAUAUGUUGACCGUUCAACAAAGGUUAACAUAAUAAAAAGCCAAAAGAAUCAAUAUCACUGUGAUUGACAGUAAUAUUACUAUAACAACAGUAAUAUUACUGUCAACCACCGUAAUAUUAUUGUUUUACAGUAAUAUUAAUAAUAGACAAUAAUAUUAUUACGUUAUUCCGUGAAUAACUCAAACAAAACAAAAAAUCCAAAAAAAUAAAUAAUAUUGAUGUGGUUGACAGUAAUAUUAUUGUGUUUACAGUUAAUUUACUGUCAACAACAGUAAUAUAAUUACGUUGACUUGUCAAAAAAUCAAACAAAAUUUAAAAAAUAAAAUAAUAAAAUAAUAAUAAUAUUGUCGUUGACUCUAACUGUAUUGUCAACGGCAGUACAAUUACAUUAAUGUACUGUCAGUGACAAUAUAAUGAUGCUUUUGCUGCUGCAUUUGCAAAUGGCCUAAAAUCUUGAUUUAAUUUCUGAUUAUAUUGUUACCACUUUUGUAAUGAUGGUUUAUUCAGAAAUAAAUGAUUACCAUAUAUGCUAAUAUGCACCCAUAAUCCGUUUGCUUUUGGUGCGUUUGUGUGGUUUAGGGCAUGGUUUAAUUUUGAGUUAUUUGCACAAAUCCACUGUCUAAUGUCUAAUGGCUAAAAAAAUCUUAUAUUAAAAUAACUAGCACAAACCACCCUUUGUAUUGUUUUGUUUAGUCCACCACUCCUUACAUAUUUUUGGCAUGUUGACUUAAUUGAUGUUUACUCUAAUUAAAAAAUAAAGCAAAAAUACAGAAAAUACUUAAAAACACGUGGUUAUCAUCUCUUCAUCUCUCAUCACAUUCUCUGCCGUUGUCGCUGCAAAUGGUCCGUCGGAGACGUCCACCAGCUCAUUUCCUUCUAGAACUUAGUUCCUAGCUCUGGCAAAAUCUCCAAAUUGCGAACCACAACACCCAUUUGCAACUUCCACGGUGUUCCUUAAAAAAACGAGACUCUUUGCCAUUUAUUUGAUCUUCUAAGAAACCAUGGCCCGAAAACUCCGAAGAAACAAUCGACAAUGCCUCUGCUUCCAAGAACGGCCGCCGCCAUCGUACGAAGGUGAUGAUGGUGGAAGAAACUCAUUUUUGGGGCCUUCAUUUUUGCUGCCCGGCCUCACUGCCUAUCGCCGCACACCUGCGCCGCGGAAUGGGGCAACUCAAUUGGGAGAAGAGCGACCAAUCAUCAGCCGUCCCCACUCUAAUUGCAAACCCACGUCUAGUUUGCGGUUGUGGGAGGCAGAUGUGAAAGAUGUGGUGGUGGUGGGGUGGUGCAGAAGGGUUGAGACACUGCUUGGUGGUGGUGAGAAGCAGCGGAUGGCUGAGGUGGGUUUUUUUGGGGGGUUUUCGGUAAGCAAUUCAGUCCCCUGACUUUGGAGAAGAGGGCUUUCGUGAAACUUCAAGGGACUGAAUUGAAAAAAUUGAAAACUUUAUUUGGGGCUUAUUUUUUAAAUUUAUAAUGUAAAGGGUAUUUGAGUUUUUUCACGACAAAAAAUUUAUAAUGUAAAGGGUAUUUGAGUUUUUUCACGACAAAAAAAUUAUAAUGUAAAGGGUAUUUGAGUUUUUUCACGACAUGGUUAGUUUUUAGCGUUUUGGUACGGUAACGGUAAGCCGCAAUGUUCGGUAGGUAUGAGCAAGCAAAAUAUUUGACAAUUGUAUCGAAUCCACCUCUACUUCAUUGGAUCGUAAAAACCCAGUACUUUUCUAAGAUCUUUUCCUUCUCUUCUAGAUUGAACAUCAAUUGCAAUGAUUUGAUAGUGUUUUUUUUUUCAUUGACUUGCAUCCAUGUUAAAUGGCUCUUGAAAAAAACAGAGUAUUCUUAAGUUUGUUAUAAUAAAUAAUAAUAAUAAUGACAUUUCAAGGCAAUUUUCGAAUUAAUUGAUCUUUGUUCUAAAUUAGGCACAUUUCUUUUAGCCUAUGAUUUAUAUCAAUAAAUUAAAUUAAAGUUAAUUAAAAAUAAUAAAAGUAAAUAAGUACUCCAUCUGUUCCACAAUAAUUAUCUCUUUUAAGAUUUUUUUUCUCCAUAUUAUAUGUCACUUUAUAAUUCCAAUGGCUGCAUUAAUUACAUAUUUUUCAAUUAUACCCUUAUUAACUCUCCAACAUUCUUUAUGCAUUAAUUAGUAAACAAGGGUAUUUUAGUCUAUAUAUAUAUAUAUAUAUAUAUAUAUAUAUAUAUAUAUAUAUAUAUAUAUAUAUAUAUUCCUAAAAUAAGACAUAUUUAUUGAGAUUUUUAAGAUUUGUGCCAAGAUGAAAAACGACACAUAUUUAAGAACGGAGGGAGUAUCUGGUCUUUUAUAGAAACAAACCACCUGUUUAAAGGAGUCUAUAAAAUAUAGAUACAUAUUAAAUCAAAUAAAAGAUUGAGAACAAAAAUCACAAUAAAAAUCAUUUGAAAUUACCCCCACUUUAAAAUAUAGAACAAAAUACAAUUUGCACCAUGAACUAUAGAGUUUUGUACCUAAAACCUCCCUAAAUUCCAAAAUGUAUCAAAUUGGCCCCUUUGUUUCUAAUCCAUUUGUAGUGUGCUGAUAUUGCAAGUUAACUUUCUGCAGUAAAAUUAUUUUGACAUUUUUACCCUCCAUUGCUAUAUUAAUAUAAAUAAAGAUAUAUACAUUCAGCUUCCAUGAAAGUGCACGCAUGGGUGUAGCUUAACUGGUUCCGGAGGUGGUAAGUUGGUGCAAUGUUAUAGGAUCGAAUCCUGGCAGCCGCAGUGUGUGAGAUUCAACUCCAAUGAGGGUUAGUUCCUUGUGGGCACAGGUCGUUGAGUUACCAUGAUUUACAUUCCUCCAUCAAAUACUUGUCGGCAGAAGCACCGUUGAGUUACCAUGAUUUACAUUCCUCCAUCAAAUACUUGUCGGCAAAAGGAUAGGGGCUCUGAGGGCGAGGGAUUCGCUUUUUCUUUUGGUUACAAGCUUCCAUCAAAGUAAAAUUAACGAUUAAAGUUAAUCAAAAUUAUAUUAAACAAAUUGAUUGCAAAAUAAAUUCAACUCUCACAAAGAGCCACCCAGAUGCUGCUACCCAAAUUCAAUCUCUUUAAAAUUUCUCUUAAAGUUAGAAUUCCACUGAAAAACAAAUUCCACCGGAAUGAAUGGUCGAAAAAAUCGAGAACCCGUAUCUCAGGGAAGAGAGAAAUCGGAAGGGAAGAAAAACAAAAAGAGAGUUGUGCAUGUAAUAGCAAAUGGGCACAUACCGCAUACGACCCUUCUUCCCAUACGACCUUUACUUUCCAUAUGUAAUCGUAUUUGGUUAACAAAAGGCCUAUUUUGUUGAGCUUUUCAUAUAUUUCUUCUUGAGCCGCACCAUGGACAGUGUGGUGAAAAUGUAAAGAUGGAGAACAAAUUGAAUUGCAAAAAGUUAUGUAGCAGAUUAAAUCUAAGGUGGAAGAAUGUGCGCUUAAUUACUAUGGUUGUACUCAGAGAAAGCAAUCCCAACACCGUAGACACAAUUUAAGGAUAAAACGGUAAAUUCACUCAUAUACUAACGGUGUUAUUUUUUUUAACGGUUGACUAAAAAUAGUAGGAGUUAUUUUGGUACGUUUUAUAGUUCAGGGUACAAAAGGUAUUUUGCCUAAAAUAUAAUUAGAGUUGAUAUGACUUGUUUUUGUAGUAUAAUUGGUGAUGAACAAUCUGCAAUAUUUUUAUUAGGGCUAAAUACAGUUUACACCCCUGAUGUAUGGGCCUUGUAACACUUACCCCCUAAUGUAUGAGAUGUACCACUUUCCCCCUUAGAGUUUUAGUUAAACGGUCAAACCUUGACGCCGUUAAAUUAAUCAGCCAAAUACCUAAAUAGCCCUCCAAUGCAAAAUACGGUGUUAAAGCAAACAGUCUCUUCGCCUUCUAGCAAAGAAACGUCUUCUGCCUCUCCCAAGAAAGAAAUCUGGCUCACUCGAUUUUUCUCAAUAAUGUUUGAAGGAUAAUUUUUGCUACAAGCGUUGGCCCAGGUUAGUUAAAUUUAGCCAUGGUAGUAUCAUUUACCAGUUUUAUGUGGGUUCAAAGUUUUCGAGAUAAUUUCUAUUUUAUUGCUAUUAUACUUUAUUUGAAAGUAGAUUGACAUUAUCGCAUACAUUAGAAUUGGGAAACUUUUUGUAUUUGCAAAAGUUUCGAAAAGAUUGUGUUGUAAAAAGUAUGGUUUUCAAUAAUGUUGAGUGAAUUUUGCAUGGGUAAUACAUUAUUUGACUUUGAUAAAUUGUCUCUGUUAGUUGUUAUUUAAUAGGUUUUUUGUGUUGAAAAAAAAUGUUUUGCAUUUUAUAUUAGGUUUUUUUUUUUGUUUUUUUCCUAUGCAAAUAUAUGUCUUUAUGUAUUUCGUAUGACUUAUACAAGCCAUUUUUAGUAAUAAAAAUGUUUGCUUUUGUUUGUAAUUUUUGGGUUUUUUUUGCCAUGCGAUUGUUGAUCAAAAGAUAGGUUCCAUAUUUAUUUAAUCCUGUUAUGUUGACUGCAUAUUUUCUAUAGUUUGUGUAAUUGAGCAAUUCUUUGUUUUUUCAUUGUGGUUACAGGAAAAUAUGGUAAUUCCACAAAUACCACAUGUGGUAGAAGGAGGAACUAGGAUGGAGGAUAUUGAUGAUGACGGCGAUUCUACUUAUAUGCCUGAAAGUGAAAGUGAAAGUGGGAGUGAUAUAGUUUCCGACUUUGAGUAUUUUGCUGAGAGUGAUAGCCUAAGUGACACAUGUGAUCCAAUAGGUGAUGAAUUCGAGCACAUGAAUAACUUCAUGUGCUCAUGUGAUAGCCUAAGUGACACAUGUGAUCCAAUCGGUGAUGAAUUCGAGCACAUGUGACACAUGGACUAGUGAUUUAAUAACUAUGUUGUGAUUACAUGAACUUCGUUCUCUCAAGGUCGGAGAAUUGAUUAUUCCAACUAUAACAGAGCAUAUGAACACGUGGACUACGGUUUUUGGUUUCCACAAAAUCGAGGAUUUACACAAGAAAGAAAUGAAGUCCAUGAAUAUGUUGGUGUUUCCGGGCACAGAUAUGCUCCACAAGGAGUUAGUGAAGCAAGAAAAUUCCGAUGGUACACAGUUUUUCUUUUAUCUUUUUUUUUUAAUGUUGUGCCAACAAAAUCGAACUAUUUUGGCGGUGCCUCUGAUUUUGCUUUUUUUUUUUAAUGGUGUAGUAGGUGUGAAGGUUUCUGAAUCAACUAACAAUCAGCCUCAGUUGCCUGGUUUGGUAAAUAAUUCCGAUAUUGAACCAUCGUUGGAGCAGAAGCAAAAUAGUGACGAAGAUGAUGUGUUGGAUUCUGGCCCUUCAAAUGCUAUUUGUGAAUCUGAUAAUAAUACUGCUGCAGCUAAUUCCGCUGAGGUGGAAAACGAGCAAAAAGAAGAAUCGUAUGCUAACUUAAAUUCCUCUCCCUCACCUGAUGAAUGCAAUAAUAGGCAAAUUGGAAAUGAGGAGUUUGAGUUUACUGGUUGGGGAGAAAAAUAGGCUACUUAUUUUUGUUUUUUGUUUUGACUAGACCGUUUGAAAUUUUUAUUGGACUAGCUUAUAUUUUGGUUUUGAAAACUCUAUUUUGCUAUGACCAAGUAUGGUUUUUGCUAUAGCCAAGUGAAGCUUAGCUCCUAAUUUUGUAUCGAAAAAUAUGAAGAUGGUAUUUAAUAUGAAAAUAUUGCUAUUUGUGAGUAUAUGUNNNNNNNNNNNNNNNNNNNNNNNNNNNNNNNNNNNNNNNNNNNNNNNNNNNNNNNNNNNNNNNNNNNNNNNNNNNNNNNNNNNNNNNNNNNNNNNNNNNNGUGUAAAUAGACAAAAAAAACCCCUGUGAAAAUGUCUAUUUUUAUAGUAUUAAAAAAGCCACAAAUGGAGAUAUUUAAAUUCUUUUUUUUUUUAUUUGAAGUAAAAUAUUUAAAUGAGGAUAUUUAAAUUCUUACUUUCUAAUGUUCUAACUAUUUUAUUUUUUUAUACUGAUAAAAACUAAUUUUAUUUUUGUUAUAUCUUUUAAUUAAAAAAAUGGAAAGGGGUUUUUUUAUUUUUAAAAUUAUAAUAUAAUUUCUUUAUAACUUUUAAAUUAUUCAUACACUAAAUUAUGUUAAGAAAAAAAAAAUUACAAUAUUAUUUAUAUGUUUAUUGAUGAUUUUUUUUUUUUUUAAUAUAAUAUUUCCAUUUAAUUUGUAUACUAAAUUUUUAAUAAUCAGAAAAAGUCAAGAAAAUCCAAAAAAAAAAAAAAAAAAAAAAAAAAAAAAAUCGAAUCAUCAUCAUCUUCAACGAUUUGAAUCCCGAUGCCAUCUCCAUCGUCUUCCCACUUAAUUAUUGAAUCCCAACCAGCAAAAACAAACUAGAAAAUUCUAUCUAUUUUUUUUGUCAAGAUCCAAAACCAAACAAAACAAAAAUUAAAAACAAUGGGAAAGAAGCUAGUUUUGUUUCUUCAAACCUAGCAACAACACCAAAAAAGAAAAUAAAAAAAAAAUCCACAAAAUCCGUUGAACACGAACGCAUAUGUGAUAUGUGGUGAACAAAGGCUCGAACGCCAGUUUGUAAUCGGGGUUGUAGGGCUCCGCUAGGCUCCAAUUGCCGCCGCCGCCGCCGAAGAGGGCUUCUAGAUCAGAGUCCGGAAGCUCCUCCGAUCGUCAGCGCCUUUGUUCGUCCUCACGAAGUGCUCGAUCCUGGACUUCGCGCGGCGUCUAUUGUAGAGCAGCACAGCGGAGCAGCCGACGGUGGAGGCUGUGCUGCGGUGGUGGGAGGAGGCCGGUUGAAUUGAAGUUGGGAAGAUGGAGAUUAAGGUUUGUGUAACCCUAAAAAUCAUGAAAUUACAUAUUAAUAAAAUUUGGGGGUAAUUAUGUAAUUUCAGGUCUAAAAAAUCUUCACCAGCUGCACACUCGGCGAGUGUGCAACACGAAAAUGCACUAGGGGGGUUUUUGCCUUUAACAAAAUUUCAUAGGGGGGUUUUUGCUAGUUUAUUUAUCAUAGGGGGGUUUUUGCUAGUUUGAAAUUACACAGGGGUACUUUUUGCAGUUUACUCUUCUUUAUAUCACGUAUGAUAUAUUAAUGUAAAAGUUGCAAUAUUUUCACACACUAUGUACAGGGACAGAUAUAUUAAAAAUUGAAAUAUUUAAGGUUGAAUCAUUUUCAACAAAAAAAAUGGAAAAGGGGAUAAUGUGGACGUAAGGGGUAUUAUUGGUAUAAAACCUCCAGCUGUCAGUUUUUCAGUAAAUAAUGUGCCACGUCAGCAAAAUCAAGAUUUCAACCGUCAAGUUAUUAACAGAAGGGGGAAAGUGGUACAUCUCAUACAUCAGGGGGGUAAGUGUUACAAAACCCAUACUUUAAGGGUGUAAACUGUAUUUAGCCCUUUUUAUUAUUAUAUGCUAAAAUAAUAUUAACUUUAACACAUCAAAAUCGCAGUCUGACAUAGUAAUGUUGCUGGGCUAACAAAAUAUUACUGCCCAAUUAGUAAUGUUACUUGUUAACACAGUAAUAAUACGGUAGUGUUAUUACUGUCCUUACUUACUGUAAUAUUCAUGUAUGAUGGGCAUACAAUGAAGACAAUAUAAAAAAGACGAAAAAAAAUAUCAUCACCGGAAGAGGAAUUUNNNNNNNNNNNNNNNNNNNNNNNNNNNNNNNNNNNNNNNNNNNNNNNNNNNNNNNNNNNNNNNNNNNNNNNNNNNNNNNNNNNNNNNNNNNNNNNNNNNNNNNNNNNNNNNNNNNNNNNNNNNNNNNNNNNNNNNNNNNNNNNNNNNNNNNNNNNNNNNNNNNNNNNNNNNNNNNNNNNNNNNNNNNNNNNNNNNNNNNNNNNNNNNNNNNNNNNNNNNNNNUGUACGUUUAUAUUAUAGCAGUGUUUUAAUAUCAGUCGUGGUUUAAAUAUCAGUCGUCGUGGUGAUUGAUAUAUCGGCCGCUAGACACGGAUUUUAAAUGAGGCAGAAACUUACGAAUAACUAGUGGUUCUAUAAUUUUUUGCCAUAUUCUUAGGGCAUCUCCUGUCGACGGGGGGCCCCCCGGGGCUCCCCCGACCCCGACCCCAACCCAUUUCUCGUCCAAUCGAUCAAUUUCUUUCUUCCAUUUUUUCCAUCACCACUCUCACCAUAUAAUAAUAAUAAUAAUAAUAAUAAUAAUAAUAAUAAUAAUAAUAAUAAUAAUAAUAAUAAUAAUAAUAAUAAUAAUAAUAAUAAUAAUAACAAUAAUAAUAAUAACAAUAACAAUAAUAACAAUAACAAUAAUAACAAUAAUAAUAAUAAUAAUAAUAAUAAUAAUAAUAAUAAUAAUAAUAAUAAUAAUAAUAAUAAUAAUAAUAAUAAUAAUAAUAAUAAUAAUAAUAAUAAUAAUAAUAAUGUUGUGCUAUUAUUAGGUUAUUAAUUAUAUUGUCAUUUUCUAAAACUAUUUUGUAAUAUAAUAACAUGUAAUGUUAAUAUAAUUAAUAGAAUGUUUGCAAUAAAAUUACUAUUUUAAAUUAAAAAUAUUGAAUUAGAUAAAAAGAAAACGAGAAAACUAAAAUAUAAUAGAAGAAACCAAUAAAAAAACUAAAAUAAAUAAAGAAAAAAGAAAGAGCAAAAAAAAAAGAGAACUAAAAUAAAAUAAAAUUAAAAAAAUAAGAAAUGAAAAAUAAAUAAAGAAAAGAAAGAAAAAAAUGAAAGGAAAAAAAAAAGAAUAAAGAAGGGACCAAAUCGGAACCGGACCCAACCAAGUACGGAUCGGUUUCAGAUCCCGAUUUUUUGGACUCGGGACCUGACGGGUCUACCCGGCGGUAGACACGGCCACGAGACGGGUCGGGUCCGGGUCCGGGUCCGACUUUUCCGGGACCCGAAACCGAUCCGUGGGGAGGCGGGUCCGGGUCGGGUCUGGGUCCAAAUCGGUUUUCCAAUUUUUCUUUUUUAUUUUUUUAUUUUUUUCCCAAAUAAUUACAAGAAAGAAAAAAAACUUAAAUUGAAACUUAGAAAAAAAAUUUGAGAUUAACUUUAAAUUCAAAAUUACAAAAAAAUUGAAUUUAAACACUAAUUUUUUUUAGAAAAAAUGAAAUGAUUAAGAACUUGAGACAUAAACUAAAUAAAGUGAAAGUUGUGAAGAUUGGAUUAUGGGUAUUUAUAAGUGAAAAUAAUAAUUGAGAAAUUUUCAAAAUUCAAAAUUCAAAAAAAAAAAAAAAUCAUUCUUCCUUUUAAAUUAAAUCGUAAUUUUUUAUAUUUUUCAAAAUUAAAUAUAUAUGCAUUUGUUAUUGGUUGAUAUUUUUAAUAUUAAUAAUAGUGAACAUGAGAAUUAAUAAUUUAUUAAACAUUAAUUAUAAAAUUAUUUAAAUCAUUACAGUGUUAUUUAUAGUUAUAUAUUUAUAACUAGGAAUAUUAUAAUAAUAAAUUACUUUACCUGAGUGGUUAAUACUAUAUUAAACCACUUAUGACACUUGGGCUCGAACCCCUAAUUUAGUGUUUUUUCUUUAAAUUGUUUAGCGUAUAAAUUCAAUUUUUUUUUGGUUAUUUGUUUUUUUGUUAUUUUGAAUUUAAAGUUAAUUUCAACUUUUUUUAAGUUUCAAUUUAAGUUUUUUUUCUUUCUUUUUUGUAAUCAUUUGGAAAAAUAAAAAAUAAAAAUUGGAAAAUCGGUUUGGACCUAACCCUGACCUGGACCCGGACCCGCCUCCCAACGGGUCGGUUUCGGGUCCCCUCAAACUCGGACGGACCCGGACCCGCGCUGCCCCGUGGCCGUGUCUAUGGGCCGCCAUAUCGAUGGCGAUCGUAAGCCUUUACGAUAUUGAUGAGGCGGUUUGAAAAAUCGGUUUUUGGACGGUGAGGCGGUUUACGACGGUUUGUGGCGUUUUGAGGCGGGUCAAGCCGAUACAUCGGGUCGGGUCAAAAAUCGGAAAAAAUAUCUAUUUUUUUUUCAAUUAAGAGGAAAAUAAGGUAGGGGUAAAACAUGUUUACAUAUUUUUUUAAUAUAUAUUUUGAGUAUUUACAAAUAAUAUUUAGAAAUAUAUUAUAUUAAAAUUUAAAAACCGAUUAUUUCGAUUCAUCUCCGAUUAAUCACUGCCGCGCUGAUUUAUGGUGUGGCGGUCCCUAACUGCCCCAGACUCGAUAACCACUUUUUAAAACCUUGUAUAGAGUAUAUAUAACUUUUUCUUGUAAUGAUGAAAUAAUAAUUGUAGAAAUUACAAAUUUUAAUUUUACAAAUAAAUUGUAAAACUUAAUAAUAGAAUAUAUAUAUUUUUUUUAUGGUAAUAAUAGAAUAUUUUAGAAAAGUGUGAAAAUGAUUUGAAUGUCAACUCAAUCAAAAUUCAAAGAUAACUAGUGAAUCGUUUGUUUCCAUGUGCACGUUUCAAAUUCUAAUUAUAUUAUAAUUCUAUUUUAUGUAUAUAUAUGGCCCGCCAACACCAAAUAUCUAGUUCUGUUUCCCGCCUCUUCUUUAAAAUCCCUCCAUUUUUUCCACUAAUUGUUUUCCCUCCACUCCCAAAAAUUUCCCCCAAAAAAUUCCCCCCAAAACCCUAAAUUGAACAGAUAUCGAAUCACAGGAAGCACUCCGAUUCCUCCUCGAAAAAACUCUAGUUGCCAAAAUCCUUGAGCAUCAAACAAAUGGGCUCCCCCGAAAUUAGCGACGAAGCAGCUCUGUCAAUGGAAGUUGAGAAUGAGAAUAAAACCGAAGAGGAUAAUCAUUCUGCAGCAAAUGCUUUCUGUUCGGGUGUAAAAUCUCAGCCUGAAUUUUAUGAUUUGGAUAACUCUCUCUCUGAUGGAAUUGUAGAAGAAGAAGACCCGGUCUCCCAAGACAACAUGCCUGCUGCUAUCACAGUAAUUCUCUGUUCUAUUCUAUUCGUUUUCUUUUUAAUCGAAACAACUGUAUCAAUCGGUGCUGGGAUUGUCUUUUUAGCGUUUUGCGUACACUGUAACCCUAUGAGCUCUUUUAUUUAUAUAAUUGAGUAGAUCUAGUAACUUUAUCUUUAUAUUUAUGUUUUUUUUUUUGUAAUUUAUUAUUAUUGAUGAUAUGAUAUGUGAAUAUUGGCAGGGGGCAGGGCUGGACAAUUUAGGCAAUACUUGCUUUCUAAAUUCAGUGUUGCAGUGCUUUAUGCACUCGGUUCCGCUUCUUCGUAGCAUUCUAUUGGAACCGCAUUCACUGAACUCUUAUUGUAAGUCAUUAUGCCAACUUUCAUUUUCGUACAAUACUUAGUGCGGUGUGUGCAUGAUUAUUUCAUAGCUACUAUUAAGAUUAGGAUGCAUUAUUCCUUUUUUACUUGUUUGGUACCUUAGUAUAGUAGGUUAUUAGGACCCUAAGUAUUGGGAUAUUUAUAGGAAUCAUUGUUUUGGGUUUUGAGGGCUAUUGGAUAACUUAUAUAUCGAAUUAUAUUUCGUUGGUAAGAAAACGUUGAAUUUACUGUGCGAUCAUAUCAUAUAUAUCUGAACUGUUGGUGCAUCUGUGUGAACAUUAUUUUGAAGGCAAUUUGUUAUUGUCUUGCCAUUGUAGUUAUUUUGCUGAUCUUUAGUGAAAUGCUUUUGUAACAAUGAAUUACUUACAGGCGAUGAACAAGGGUUUUGUACAUUAUGUGCUCUGCGGGAGCUUGUCAAGUCUUCACUGGCAAACAGGAUCGUCUCACCAUCGUAUUUCACCAACAACUUGAGCUGUAUCCUUUCUUGCAUCUCUGUCAUAUAUGCAAAUAUUUUCAUCACUGGCAACACUCGCUUAAUAAUAUCUAUGCUACAACAGAUACUCGUUAGUGUCUUUUGGCUCAACGGAACACAGUAAUGUGGUCCGACAUUAUCAUUUUGACUGAUGAGCUGUUAUUUUAUUGUGUUAUACAAGUUAUUAUGCCCGGUAGCUUUGUUUUUUGUGUUUCAAUAACCUUUAUGUUGCUUUGGGAUCCCUUAACUUGCAAAACUAUCAGACUUCUCUUCAAGUUUCAAGAAGUUCCAACAGGAAGAUGCUCAUGAAUUUCUUCAGUGCUUCUUGGAUAAGCUUGAAAGCUGUCACGAUUCACAGCGUAAAGAAUACACUUCUUCACCAACUGGUAACCUAGUGCAACAAGUAUUUGGGGGUCGUCUUGUUAGCAAAGUAUGAGCUCACUUCUGAAAUCUUUAUAUAUUUCUACGUAUCUUGUUUGUUUGUCAUGCACAAUAUCCAUCAUGUGUAGUUAUAUUUUAUAUGAUCAAUGGAAAAUGUACGAUAUGUAAUUACAUGUUUCUUUCGAUUGCAGCUCAAGUGUUGUAACUGUGACCACUGUUCCGACACUUAUGAGCCUUUGAUUGACACGAGUUUGGGGAUUGAGAAUGCAGACGACCUUGUAACAGCUCUUCAGUCAUUUACAAAAGUUGAAAAAAUUGACGAUCCAGAGGACAAGGUUACAUGCGAAAAUUGUAAGGAGUUGGUAUCUGUUGAGAAGCAGCUUUCAUUUGAUAAGGCCCCUUCAGUGGCUGUAUUUCAUUUGAAGAGAUUCGAGAACGACGGCUGUUGGGUGCAGAAAAUUGAUAAACAUGUGGCAUUUCCAUUAGAAUUGGACUUGCUUCCUUUCACUGAUAGUGGCAAAUCAAAUGAUGUAAGUUUGUCUUACUGCUUAUUCUGUCCGAACAUCUGAAUUUUUGUAAACAGAUUUUGAAGUUUCUUGACUCUGCUUAUGGGUGUUGUGUUUUAGCAGGCAGAUCUCAAGUACGUAUUGUAUGCUGUUAUAGUGCAUAUUGGAUCGACACCUACAUCUGGACACUACUACUGCUUCAUUCGAUUGUCCCCCAAUGUGUGGUGCAAGUUUGAUGAUUCUAGGGUAAUAUGUUCGACAUUUUUUAUGUGUAUUUGUAUACAUGCAUACACCCCUUUUUUUUCACUUGGCUGUUGUUAAGUACUGAGUGUCGAAUGAAUUUGAUUUUGUAGGUUGUGCUGGUCCAUGAAGAUUAUGUGCUGUCACAAGAGGCAUACAUUCUCUUCUAUGCAAAAGAGGGCACACCCUGGUUUUCAAGUUUCAUGGAAACUCAAUUAUCUUGUGUCCAUUCAACUAUAUCGAAAACUUCUCCGAGAUCAGUGUUGGAUAACGUAGAAACCCCAACCGUGUCGCCUCUUUUGCCAAACAACAAAUUUAGUUGUGAUUCCAAUGAAGUGAGUCACGAGAUUACUGGAUCGGAACGUAAGAGCAUACACACAAGUGUGGUUAAAGAUAUAGGACGAAUACAGAAUAAAUCUGAGAGCAUUGCAACUGCAGAAAAUUUGCAUAGAAAAUCUGCAACACCAGUAGUACACUGUCCUACUCCGACUACUGCUUCUUCAGAUGUUUCUUUUGGCCAAGCCCAGAAAAAGAUUUCCCCAAUCGUACUUAAAAAUGUUAAGAAGAUUCAGAAUGUUGAUGUGGUUGCAAAAUAUGAAAAAGAUAUUCAGAGAUCUCCGAGUCCAGAGAUAUACAGAGAAGAUCCACCUUGUAAAUUCACUAACCUUAUUCGUUUUUAAGGUUAACAAGUGUGUAUAUUUUAUGCUAUGCUAUGCUGACAAUGAAUUGUUUGUUUCGUUAUAGAUAAAGGAUACAACAUUCCACGGUUGGCGGAGCGCAUGGGUUGCAAAAGGAGAUUGGAGAAAGAUAUUAUGGUGGAUGAUUUGGAAACAAAGCAGGCUUUUACUUUCAUCAAGAAAAACAUGCAUAGUUCUCGAGCUCAGCAAAUGAUGGCUGCAUUGAGGGUUUCCAAAACUGAAGAAGCUUCCGUGAAUAGAAAGAAGAGUAGAACAUCUUUAAAUAAAGAUGACAUUGUUGAACCGUCUCACCGCGAUUCAACCAAUAGACUACGACAACGCCGCCCUUUGGUUACAGGGAAUUACAGGUAAAGUUGAAAAUAUUUAAACAGAUGAAUAUUUCCAUAUCAUCUGCUUUUUAUAUUUAAUUUCAAUAGGUGAUCUUCAUUUGAAUAAGGUUAUUCGUUAGUGUCUAAAAUAUCUACUAUCUUAGAUUCUUAGUGGAAUAUUAGAUUGCUAAUUAAAUUCCUCUUAUAGGCAAAAUUAAUGUUAGGCCACCCUUGUAAGUAUUGAAGGAUUUCCGGUGUUACUUGCAGUACACAAAUUCUUGUUUUUUUUUUCUAGCCAUUUAUGUUCUUUGUUGAACACAAGUAGAAAGAAGAUUUCUUAUUAAUUUCUAAUUUUUUAAAUAUGACUUGUUGUUUUGACAAUAAGAAAAGCUUUUUCUUGUUCUAUAAAUAAUUCUAUUCACCGAGAUAUAAUAACUUUUCAAUUCUUAAUUGAAUGAAUAUUUAUACCCAAUGUUUCAAUGAAUCAAGUAAACACUUAUUUAUCUGGCUUUAUAGAUUCAGUGCAUUUCCACCCUAGAACUAACACAAAUCUGGUGCUUUUAUAAUUUAAAAGUUGGCUAAGUACACUCGAAAAUGAUGUAUCUCAUGUCAAAAUGCAGCCUAUAUUAAUUUCAUGCAAGAUAUUAAUAAAGCAAACUCAGCAUAUCAUGAUAUUUUAGAUUUUGAUUUUUCUUUCUUGCUGUCUUUUAAUUUUCCUUAACUUAUAUUUUGAAAUAUUUUAUUAUAAAUAAAAAUAAAAUGUAAGAUUUUUUUUUUUAGUUUCUUUCUUUAGCAGUCAAAAUUAUUUUUAAAAUUCUCAAAAUUCUUAUUUCAUCCAAUUUUAAUUUUAUAAAAUAUUUUAAAAACUUCUCAAAUUUUCAAUACUUUACAUAUUUAUUUCAAAACAAAAAAAAUAUAAUCAACUUUGUUUGAUUUGAUGUUUUUAUAAGGAAAUGAGUAAUUGAUAGAAAUUAGAUCGAUUGAAUAAUAUAGGGUUAAAUACAGUUACCACCCCAGAAGUAUGGGCCUUGUAACAGUUAUCCCCUAGUGUAUUGAAUGUACCAUUUACCCCCUUAGAGCAUCUCCAACCUUGUUCAUUUUGAAGCGGUAAAAGCUAAAUUUUACUAAUUUUAGCAUUUUCAAUCAAAAAAUCAUGCUCCAAAGGAAGAGGUAUAAUUUACCUCAUUAGCUAAAACCAAAAUUCCAAAUGCUAAAUAUACCACUUACUAUUCACAAGAGCUAUAUAAAAGUAUAUUAAAAUAAUAUACUCAACCCCACACUCCAUCUCCCAAAAGUGAUAAAAUUAAAAUUGAUUACCCACUACGUCACUUUUUCAAAUAGCAAAUGUAAUAAAAAUAUUAUAAAAUGUUAAAUUAUAGAUGGUAUGGUUAGAGAAUGCACAAAAAAUUAACUUGUUAAAACACUAUUUAAAUGCUAAAAUAAGUAUAGCAUGCCAAUUUUUACCUCCCAUGAUUGGAGAUGCCCUUAGGAGUUUAGUUAAAUGUUAAAAUUAACAUCGUUACAUUAAUAAGUGAAAUAACUAAAUAGCCUUGCAAUGAAGCAUACUAAUAAGUGAAAUAACUAAUUAGCCUUGCAAUGAAGCAUACAAUGUUAAAACAAACUUUUACGAUUUUGCAACAAUUUUUUUUAUUCUUACUUCCAAAAUUUCAAUUUCCUAAUUUUUACGAUAAUUUUGGAUUGAAAUUGGAAUUAUGUAAAUGAAAUUGAAAUUUCCGAUUUCCGAUCCGAUUUAAUUUCCAAAAUUAACUCCAAAAAAUUCCGAUUUUCUUCCAAAAAAUACACCUAUAAAUAAUAUAUAUUAUAUAAUACUUAUUUUAAGUUUUUUUUUUUUAAUUUAUUUUCUGAAACAAUAAUUUGAUUUAUGUUUUGUUUUAGGAUUUUGACAUAUUUAUUGUUGUUAGAAGUUUUAUUAGAUAUUAUGACUUGGUUUAUUUUUAUUAUUUUUUGAACUGGAAUUUAGUAGUUAUUAGUUUUACUUUUAUCGACGUUGAUGUUCUUAUUUUUGGAAAAUUAUGAAAUUUUCAGAAAAUUUCCUCUAAGUUUUGAAAUUUUAAAACUUAUUUGAUCUUUUAUUUAUUUUUUUUCAAAAUUCUGAAAUUUCCGGGGCAAUUGGAACUGGAAUGAUUUUUUAUAGUCCGAAAGGUUAGGAAUUAGGAUUGGAAUUGAUUUUGUACUUCCGAUUGUUUUUGGAAGUUUUCCGAAAAUGAUAAAUUUCAAUCCGAUCCAUCCAGCUUUCAACCAUAAUUGAAACCUUCUCCAAAAAAAAAAAGGAAAAGAAAAAAAAGAAAGAAAAAUGGUUAUGUACGUAAGGGGUACUAUUGGUAUAAAAACUCCACCCGCUACUUUCCCAGCAAAAAUUAAUACCACGUCAACAAAAUCAGCUCAACAACCGUUAAGGUUACGAACAUAAGGGGAAACUGAUACAUUCAAUACAUUAGUGGGUAACUGUUAGAAGGCUCAUACUUUAGGGGUGGUAACUGUAUUUAAGCCAAUAAUAUAAUUAGGAUUUUCAAGUUUUUUUCUUUUUAAAGUGUAAAACAAUCUCCAAUUUUGAUUUCAAAAAUUUCAAAAUCUGAAUAUCAAUUCCAAUUCCAAAAAUAUUUUUCAAAAAUUAUUUCAACUUUUUUAUGUUUCAAUUUGUUUUGGAAAAAAGGCAAGUAAAUACAUAAUAAUUUAAUUUUUUUCGAUGCGAUUAGUUUAUUAUCUUUCAAAAUUAAAGGACAAAAUAACUGUUAAGUGUAUAUUUAUACACUUAAUUGUACCUUUUAAUUGGAGCUUUUGAUGUGUUUUUACGAUAAUUGGUGCUUAAUUUGGUUAUUAUUUGUAUUUUAGGGACAAAUUGAAGAAUUGGAAAAGUAUGGGGUCAAAACUGCAAUUUUGGAGAAAAUAUGGGCCAAAAGUGAAAAAAUCAAAAUUCUGAAGAUUUAAAGCUCGGACCCCCGUCCCAGUUUUAGUGCAAAUCGUGGGACCCCCGUCCGAGACUCCGAAAUUGCGCAGAAAAGGGAUUUUAAUUGCACAAGGAAACUGCCUUCUUCCCCAAGUUCUUCACCCUAUAUAAGACCAAGUCAGACACACAAUUAGGCAUCAUCUUUUUAUCAUCUAUCUUUUAUCUUUCAUCUUUCUACACACGAGCAAGAGAACGAAGACGAAGACUUGACGAAUCUUCAUCCGAGUUUUCCUUUUACUUUUAUUCUUCGAUUUUUAUGAACUUUCAUAUUUUUAUUAUGCUUGUCGUUACGAACAUGAGUAGCUAAGUUUUUAUUCUAGGAUUUUAUUGGAACCCUAUGUGGUGAUUCGAACCUAUUUUUCUACUUUUAUGCAAGUUUAAUUCUUCGAUUAUUUCUUCGAUCUUGAUCGUAUUUAGUGCAUGAGCGUAGCUAACUUAUGUUGCUAUUUGUUAUUGUUAGAAUUGAUUGACAGAUCGUUUUAAUAAUUAGAACAGGGAUAGAAGAGCCUUCGAGUAGUUUUUCACCGAAUGCGUGUGUUGAUUGCAUGUAUUAUCGUAGACAUACAGAUAAUACCUUAGGUAGCCGUUUACGAGACUUGUUAUUUAAUGCUUUAUUUAUAUUAGGUUUGCAUAGACAUAUAGUGAAUCUUUUAUGAAUAAUAGGUUUAUAGCGCAGCGACAGCUGGUUAUGAAUAAUUUCGUGUCUUGGGUUAAUAAUCGGGAAUCGUAACUUGCAUAAUAGGAGAUUAAUUGGGUGAAGAAUUAUCGCAUAGGGGGAAGAUAAAAUCCUAGAUCCGUUUAUUAUUGAUAUUUUCUCGUAAUUACUUGCUUUCUUAAUUAUUUUAAUUUAUUUAGUUAAUUAAAUUGACAACCUUGCGUAGGCUGGAUAAAAAUAACAAUUGUUAGAAUUUGGUACUUAGGAUUAAAUAAUUUGCGUAUUCCCUGUGGGAUCGACAUCCGACUCUCACGAGUCUACUUUACUACUUGUUUGCGAUACGUGCACUUGCGUGUGGGUAUUUAGCACCCAACAAGUUUUUGGCGCCGUUGCCGGGGAAUACGGCUAAAUUAUUUAUUUAUCCUAAUAUUAAAUUUGAACAAUUUUUCUUACUUCAGCCAAUUUUUUUUUUGUUUUAUUUAAUUAUUUUUUUUUUAUUUUUUUUAGGUACUUUUUAUGCGAAGAGGACACGACACGAGCUUGCUACCUCUUGACCCCGAAAUUGAGCGAACGUUUAGGCAAGCCAGGAGAAAUCAACGGUUAGCCCAAAACAAUCCGGCAACGAUGGAGGACGAGGAUAAUCGUGGAGAAGGUGACCAAAGGCGCCCACCGAAUGUGGCAAGAGAAAUCGUCAACGAGCAAGAGCAACGCCAGCUGAUUAAUCCACCACCUCGUCAACGAGCACUGCAUGAGUACACCGUUCCAACGCUUAAUGGGUUUCAAUCGAGCAUCCAGCAGCCCCCCAUUGAAGCCAACAAUUUCGAGAUUCGAGCGGGACUCCUCACGAUGCUUCAAAACAAUGGUUUAUUCAGCGGAUUGGCUCAUGAAGAUCCACAUCUCCACUUGGUCAAUUUUCUCGAGACGUGUGAUUCGCACAAAAUGAACGGAGUAUCACCCGAAGCACUGCAACUCCGCCUGUUCAAGCAUUCCUUACAAGGCGCAGCCCGAGAAUGGUUACAAACUCGCGCACCGCAUUCCAUCUCGUCUUGGGCCCAGCUAGCACAACUUUUCAUGAACACAUACAACUCCCCAACAAAAACUGAGAGAAUCCGGAGAGAAAUUCAAAAUUUCAUACAAGAAGCCGGUGAAGCACUAUUCGAGACGUGGGAGCGGUUCAAACAGCUAGUAAGGAGGUGCCCGAAUCACGGACUUCAAGAGUGGCGCCAACUGCAAAUAUUUUACGAUGGGCUACAAGACAACUCGAGAACCGUGCUCGACUCCGCAGCUGGAGGAAUGUUCAUGAGUUUGACUUACGAUGAAGCAUACGAGCUUUUGGAGCGAAUCGCUAGAAAUAAAUACAUGCGGGCAUCGGACCGGUCGAACAGCGGAGCAGUCAAGACAGGAGGAAUUUUGGAGUUAGACGGGGUCACUGCAAUCACGGCCCAGUUAGAAAAACUAUCGAAGCAAGUAGCGGCUUUGCAGACUCAGCAAGUCCACACAGUCCAAGUUCCCGACCAACGCAUAGAAGAAACGGAGUCUCUGAAUUAUGUGCAUGACACCAACCGUCAACAGAGGAACCCGUACUCCAACACGUACAACCCCGGAUGGAAGGAUCACCCUAACUUUGGGUGGGGAGGAAAUCAGCAAGGACCAAGGCAAACACCACCUCAAGGUCAACCGCCUAAUUAUUCACGACCAGCGCCCGGCUUCCAAAAUCCGCCUCAAGCUCAACCUCAAGGCGGAGAUCUCGCAAACAUCUUGGCGCAGUUCAUGACAACCACCCAAGCCUCCAUCCGAAACUUGGAAACACAGAUGGGUCAACUUGCAACCCAACUAACAGCGAGGCCAUCGGGAGCACUGCCAUCAAACACGGAAGAUCCUCGGAAGAACAACAUCGAGCAGUGCAACGCUGUAAGUUUAAGGAACGGGAGACAAUUGGAGGAGGCCCCACGAAAGGAGAAGCAAAACACAGUAAUUGAGGAGCCGAAUGUGAUUUGGAAAAAGGAAGCAACUCGUAAAGAACCACCAUCACCCACAGUGAACUCGCGAGUCCCUCAAGUCCCAUAUCCUCAAAAGCUUAAAAAGAAGAAGCUCGAUGCCGAACACCAAGGAUUCUUGGACAAGCUGAAGGAAAUCCACAUCAACAUUCCGUUUAUCGAAGCCAUUCAAAAGAUUCCAAAGUGGGUGAAAUUCCUCAAGGAGCUCGUGACAAAGAGGAAUAAAUUGCAAGGGAACGAGAUCAUCCAACUCACGGAGCAAUGCAGUGAAAUUCUUGUACGGCCUCUUCCACAAAAACUUGGCGAUCCAGGUAAGUUCACUAUCCCUUGCACUAUUGGAGGUAGAAAUUUUAGGUCACUCAUUGAUUUAGGUGCUAGCAUUAAUCUUAUGCCUUAUUCCAUUUACAAAAAUCUUGGGUUAGGUGAGAUUGAACCAACGGCUAUAACUCUUCAAUUAGCCGAUAGGUCUUUAGUUUACCCAAAAGGUAUUUUAGAGAAUGUGCUAGUAAAAGUGAACAAAUUUAUCUUCCCUGUUGAUUUCGUUAUACUUGAUAUAGAUGAAGAUAGGGAAAUACCUCUUAUUUUAGGAAGACCGUUUUUAGCCACAUCGAAAACUCUAAUUGAUUGUGCUAGUGGUGAUCUUUCAAUGACAGUGCAUGAUCAAACGGUUAAAUUUAACGUUUUUAGCGCUAAUAAAAAUUCAUGUGAUGACAAUGAUUGUUAUGCUAUUGAUCUUGUGGAUUUUACAAAUCAUGAAGAUUUUGACGUUUUGAUCUUAGACCAUGGGAAAGGAUCUUUGAGUGCAGGAGAUGGUGGCGGAAAAGAUAGUCGGACGGAGCAAGUUUAUUGUGCGAGCUCAAUUUCAACUCCGCCGAGAGACAGUCAAAAGAGUUGGGGUGAUAACAAUGAUGAACGUGCAAGGUGGAUGUGGCCACCUAAAGAACCAAACGAGCAUUAUUGGGGAGAGGAAUUCAAUCGCCAAGUGACUUCGGUCACGUUAGCUUGAACAAAGAAGCAAACAAAGUCCGGCUGAAGACUUUAAACUUAGCGCUUCUUGGGAGGCAACCCAAGCUUUAUUGUUUUUCGUAGUUUUCUUUAAUUUUUCGUUUCGUUUUAUAAAUCAUAAGCAUGCAUUCUAAUUUAUUUAUUUGAAUUUUAACUUUUCAGGGUCGAAAACAUGAUCGGGGAAUCCAGACGACCGUCCGCAAAAAAAAAAAAAAAAAAAAAAAAAAAAAAAAAAAAAAUUUUGCAGCACUGCAUUUGAGACGGCCGUCCCAAAAUAUGCCUAUUUUGUGGGACGGCCGUCCCACAACCAGGAAGGAAAAAAAAAAAUUCGGACGGCCGUCCGAAAAUCAGCACAAAAACCGGGACGGCCGUCCGACGAUUUUUAGGGCGUUUUAACUUUCAAAAAUUAGAUUCUUUUCCCCAUUAUUUCCUAAACCUUCCUCUUUCCUUCUAUCAAACUCCCACACACAAAUCGAGGCUAGAGAAUCGAACCAAAUUCUCCAAAAUCUACUCAUUCAAGGCACGCCCACAAGGUGUUCGACAAAUUGCUCCAACCAAGUUUGGGGGUCGAUUCUCGUCUAAUUUUUACCGGCACCCAAUCUUGAGCCCGUACCCGAGCUUUCCGAUGAGGACGAGCGUGAGAGAGUGAGGGAGGAGCACCCCGAUCACACCGACUCCGAAUAAAUCAGGUGUUUUCUAUCCUUAAAACUUUGUGCUAAUUUCGUUGAGGGCAACGGAAAUUUUAAGUUUGGGGGUGAGAAACAUGUUUUUGUGCUUAUUUGUUUUAGUUUGCAUGCAUUAGGUCUUAUUCGUUUUUAUUGUUUUUCUCGUUUUUUUUCGGAAUAAAAAAAUAAAAAAAAAUAAAAAAAAAAAAAAAAAAAAUUGCUUGAGUCGAAUGCAUCGAUGAUUUAUGAUGAUGGGAGAUGGUCAAUGUUUGAUGAUGAAAUUGCUUGCUUUAUGUGAUAAGGAAUGAGUAUUUGUUUAGCUUUCGAUUCAACGGAACGUAGAAGUGAAUUAUUGCUAGUAAUCACACCUUAUGCAUUGCUUUGGUUGAAUGUUUUGCAUUUUAAAUUUGGAAUUUAUUUGUGCUCAAUCAUGCUUUGUUCGGUUUUAAAUCCCACCUUAAGACAUUUAUGAUACGAAGUGUUGGGUAGUAAGCGAUUUGCGAUGUGAUUUGGGCCAUCUUUGAACCGUUUGAGCCUUUCAAGCCUACCUUUAAAUUUUUAUCCUUAGAACCUUGAUUUGAGCCUCGGUNNNNNNNNNNNNNNNNNNNNNNNNNNNNNNNNNNNNNNNNNNNNNNNNNNNNNNNNNNNNNNNNNNNNNNNNNNNNNNNNNNNNNNNNNNNNNNNNNNNNNNNNNNNNNNNNNNNNNNNNNNNNNNAAAAUAAAAUAAAAUUUGUUUUUUUUGGGCAUCUUUAAAUCUUCAUAUAUAUCUAUAUAUCUAAAUUCUUCGAUUAAAAAAAAAAAAAAAAAAAAAAAAAAAAAAAAAAAAAAAAAGAAGAAGAAGAAUAGAUUAGAAGGGAGAAAUAAGGACUAGUUGUUGAAUUGUGUUGAAAACUCGAUCCAUUGCCUCAAGGGCAAAAGUGUUGACGUGUGAAUUUUGGAGAAUCGAGUUUAUUAAAGUCCCUAGAGGUGAAUUUAUUGUUUCAAACGCCUAGCUUUCAAAUUUUGGCGUAAUCACCUCAAUUCAAGAAAAUUAGCCACACAUUCCCAUAUUACCUACCUCGGACCAAAGAGCCUAACAAUUGAAAGCCACAAAGCCCCAAUGAUCCCAAUAGCUUAUUGUUCAAUAUUAGUUGAGUAAAAUAAUUUGGUGAGUAUUUGGAGUCAAAUAUAUGUAUGUAAGUAUAAAUUCUGUCUAUCUUUAACUUGCAAAUAUUGGAUACUUGAAGCAAUUGUAUGAUUUGUGAUUGUUGGUAAUGGUGAGGGACUAAGUACCGUUGAAUGUUAAACUUGCGAAUACCUAGGAAUUAUCAUCAUAAUUGCAAGUUCUGAAAACGCUAAGUUGACCCAUCGAUCUAUGUAAUGAGAUGUAUGGUUUUGUUUUGUGCUAUUAAUUUGAUGUUACUUGAGGACAAGCAAAAGUUCAAGUUUGGGGGUGUGUUAAGUGUAUAUUUAUACACUUAAUUGUACCUUUUAAUUGGAGCUUUUGAUGUGUUUUUACGAUAAUUGGUGCUUAAUUUGGUUAUUAUUUGUAUUUUAGGGACAAAUUGAAGAAUUGGAAAAGUAUGGGGUCAAAACUGCAAUUUUGGAGAAAAUAUGGGCCAAAAGUGAAAAAAUCAAAAUUCUGAAGAAUUAAAGCUCGGACCCCCGUCCCAGUUUUAGUGCAAAUCGUGGGACCCCCGUCCGAGACUCCGAAAUUGCGCAGAAAAGGGAUUUUAAUUGCACAAGGAAACUGCCUUCUUCCCCAAGUUCUUCACCCUAUAUAAGACCAAGUCAGACACACAAUUAGGCAUCAUCUUUUUAUCAUCUAUCUUUUAUCUUUCAUCUUUCUACACGCGAGCAAGAGAACGAAGACGAAGACUUGACGAAUCUUCAUCCGAGUUUUCCUUUUACUUUUAUUCUUCGAUUUUUAUGAACUUUCAUAUUUUUAUUAUGCUUGUCGUUACGAACAUGAGUAGCUAAGUUUUUAUUCUAGGAUUUUAUUGGAACCCUAUGUGGUGAUUCGAACCUAUUUUUCUACUUUUAUGCAAGUUUAAUUCUUCGAUUAUUUCUUCGAUCUUGAUCGUAUUUAGUGCAUGAGCGUAGCUAACUUAUGUUGCUAUUUGUUAUUGUUAGAAUUGAUUGACAGAUCGUUUUAAUAAUUAGAACAGGGAUAGAAGAGCCUUCGAGUAGUUUUUCACCGAAUGCGUGUGUUGAUUGCAUGUAUUAUCGUAGACAUACAGAUAAUACCUUAGGUAGCCGUUGUCGAGACUUGUUAUUUAAUGCUUUAUUUAUACUAGGUUUGCAUAGACAUAUAGUGAAUCUUUUAUGAAUAAUAGGUUUAUAGCGCAGCGACAGCUGGUUAUGAAUAAUUUCGUGUCUUGGGUUAAUAAUCGGGAAUCGUAACUUGCAUAAUAGGAGAUUAAUUGGGUGAAGAAUUAUCGCAUAGGGGGAAGAUAAAAUCCUAGAUCCGUUUAUUAUUGAUUUUUUCUCGUGAUUACUUGCGUUCUUAAUUAGUUUAAUUUAUUUAGUUAAUUAAUUUGACAACCCUGCGUAGGCUGGAUAAAAAUCACAAUUGUUAGGAUUUGGUACUUAGGAUUAAAUAAUUUGCGUAUUCCCUGUGGGAUCGACAUCCGACUCUCACGAGUCUACUUUACUACUUGUUUGCGAUACGUACACUUGCGUGUUGGUAUUUAGCACCCAACAAGCAUCUAACUAAAAAACAUUAUUCAUAUGUAAAUUAUGUCUUGUAGCACUCUCUUGAAUCUAUCCAUUGCCAUGCUUCUUCACAUGUAAUUUCAGAAGUGUAGGACUCUCCUCAGUCUCUCCAUUGAUGCUUUUGAGUAGACAGUCUAACGUAAAAUAUCACAUUCCAUAAACCGCCCACCAGCUCACCAGAAAUAAGAAAAAUAACACUUGAAAGUCGUUUUUGAAUUAACUGAUCUUUAUUUUAAAUUAUGCGCCUUUCUUUUAGCCUAUGAUUUAUAUACCUGAAUUAAAUUAAAGUUAGUUAAAACUUAAAAAUAAUAAAAGUAAAUAAAUAGCAGGUACAACUAUAAAGUGUGGUUUUAAUCAUUGUGUCGGGACUUGGUCCUAUCUCGUUUGGAAGCGAACCGGUCGGAGUCUUGUACCGGUGGUUGUCUUUUCGUACAUGCUUGAAUAAAUCGCAUGAAAACAGACAGGACUUGUAUUCUCGGACCUCUUUUCAAACUUUAUUAUUUACGGUUCCAUUUAUUGAUGUGUUUUGCUUGGUAAGUUUAUCAAUGCAAAUUUUAAAUAAAUUAUAAUUUUCCAAACCACAUUAAUUUCGUAUUAUUUUUUAUAGAAUUUUGGCAUUAAAUGUGUUUUUAGCGAGGAAUAAAUAUUUUAUAACCCUCUAAUAUUAGAAUACAGGUCAAGGGUUCAAAUCCUGCCUCCUCCCCUACUUUCACAAUUUGUAACUGGAUUUGAACUUAAAAAAAGAAAAAACAAAAAAAGAUAUUAGACUUGUGUAAUACAGAUAUUCCCUCUAUAUUUAGAAUUAUUUAACGUUUUUAUUCAUUGGUGCGAACCUAUGUUAAAUGCCUCUUAACCCCCAUUGACCCUAUGUUAGAGGUGAAAAUCGAUAAUUUGACCCACUUUUGGGCAAUCCGCGCGUAUGAUUAUUUAGGGGUGUAAAUGAGCCGAGCUCGCCUUAUUUCACGAGCUCGAGCUCGACGAACCUAUGAUUUUCAGCUCGAGCUCGAGCUCGUUGUGUUUCUAAGGAGCUCGAGCUCGGCGCAACCAAAAUUUCAUUCAAUUAAAAAAGUAAUAUUAUUCUUUUUUAUUUAUUAUUAAUAAUACCCAUUAUUAUAUAUUAUUAAUAUGUAUUAAAAAUAUAAAAAAGGUAAAGCUCGCGAGCCGGCUCGCGAGCUGUCGAACAACUGAAAUGAAGCUCGAGUUCGGCUCGUCGAAAAGCUCGGGCUCGCUAGCUCAAGCUUGAGCUCGAUUUUUCGAGCUCAAGUACGAGCUUUUUUCGAGCAAGCUCCGGAAGCUUGCGAGCCGGCUCGACUCAUUUACACCCCUAGUUCUGACCGGCACCAAAUUACUACUUACUCGGGUCCUACGCGAUUCGUACAUGUGCUCGAUUUUGAGAGAUGUAAAAAAUUCAGUAUUUUAAAAUCUAUCGUGGCGACCGAUUAAUCGGUCUUCAAGGCGGAGGCGGUCCAAAAUCUUUACGAUUUUGGUGUAAAGGUUUCAAAAAUCAAUUUUUGUCUGUGAGGCGGUUUUAGGCGGUUCGAGACAAGUUGAGACGGUCAAGCCAUGAAAACGGGUCAAACUUUGGGUGUAAAAAUGGUCAAAAAUCGUUUUUCUUAAAUAAAAAAAAGUUAGAGUUUAAUAAAAAAUGAGUUUAUGCUUUGUUUUAUUUUGUUAAUCUUAAUUUUUAUUUUUAAUGGAUCUACUAUAUGCUUGCCAUAUUCAAGCAUAUAUUGGGAUGGACAAGAUUUUCUUUUUAUUUUAUUUUGUAAGGAUUUUAAUUAUAUUAUGAUCUUAUUGUUAUUAAAAUUUUAUUAUAUGAUUAUGAUAUAUAAAUGAUGGCAAUAGAAUCAUGUUUAAAGAUACUUUUAUAUAAGUUUUGAGUAUUAACAAAUAAUAUCUAGAAUUAUAUUAUGUUAAAUUUAAAAAAAUUGAUUUAUUUUCGAUUUAUUGUCGAUUAAUCAUAGCCGCACUGAUUAAUUGUGAGGCGAUGUCUAACCGACUCGGUCCGAUUCCUACCUUUUACAACCUUAAUAAAAUCUAUGUAAUGAUUAGGAAAAAAACAUAGACAAUAUCUUCAAGGGUGUUGAAAAGAAAAAUAGAAAAAAAAUAAAUCAUUUGUACCACUUACCAUUUCUAACAGACAGGUUAAAUAUAGUUUACACCGCUCUAUAGCAUAUAUUUGUAAUACUUACCCCAUUGUAAGUAUUAUUUGUAACACUUACUUUCCUCAAGCACACUUUAAGUUCUAUUUUAAAUUAUGGACACAAUAAGCAAAUCAAUGGGUACUUAUCAUAAAGAGGUCCAAACAAUAAACUAUUUUACAAAAAAGUCCACACAUGGUCUAGAGGUUUGUAAAAGACUAAAAUAGUCCCUUAUAUUUUAAUAUGCUCUAAUUUCAUCCUCUAAUUUCGAGGGUGUUUGCAAAUGCUUUUGCAACCAGCUUAUGAGCUUUUCUUGCCUCAUAAUCUAUUUUUUGGUGUUUGUGACACGAACCUCUACUUUUGCUUCUCUAAAUAUAAGCUAUUUUAAGCUAUAAUCUCAAAAGCAGGCUUGAUCCAACUUUUUCGGUUGAUGGCAUUUCUGUAAAUAAAAAUAAGUUGUUUUAAAUAUUUUAAUUCAUUUUUACCCUUUUAAUUAAUUUAAUUAAUCCCUACGUUUACCCAGCAUUACCCUGUAUUCACGUCAAAACCCUGUCACAUAAAACACCUCCACCUCCAUUAUGUUUCAGCAAGAAAUUCACCGUCACAAUCAUAAUAGAUGUGAACCUUCAUUUUUUUUCCGUGUUGUAGUUUAAGGAUUAAUAACAUUAAAUCUAUGUAUUUGUGAAUUACGCACUUGUGUUUUUCCUCAAAUAUAUGUAGCAAUUCGGGUUAUAUAAUUUUGGGCUUUCUGAUUUCUGUAAGAAUAUGGCCAAAAUCUUGUGUCACUAACUUUGUGUUUUGAAUGUAUAUUUGAUUUUGUUUUAAUUUGAAACAUUUGUCCUCAUGUAUUCUAACAUGGGUUUUGCAUAAAAAAAAAUUUCAUGUACUUACGCAAUAUGUUGCAAUCUUUGUGUUUAGCUAUGGGAGUCGGUAUGAAAGGGCUUUUAGGAAAAAAGAUAUAAUUUAUAUAUUUAUUUGUGUAUUUAUUAGGGUAUUUAGGACAAUUUAUAAAUAAUAAAUUGAAAUUUUAAGUUUGUUUGCAAACACUGCAACUUUUAAAUUAACUGCUUAAAGUUGAUUUUAUAGGUCUUUUGCAAACACCCACAACUUUUGCAAUAAGUAAUUUUUUAGAGCUUAACUCAUAAUUACCAACUUCUGAUUUUACAUAAGCAUUUGCAAACACCCCCUUAAUCUAACCUCUAUUUGACCCAAAAUUUCACAAAUUAUUCAAUUUUAACCAAAAAAAAAUUUUAUGGACAAUUUGGUCUGUCACCGCCGUUAACCGUCGGUCUCCGGCGUUGACUUUUUUUUUUCUUCCUGAUUUUUUCGCCGGUUUCCAACGUUGACUUUUUCGAUUUUUUUUUAACAUCUUUUUGUCCCCGUUUAAACAGCAAUAUUGUUGUCAUUGACAAUAAUAUUUACUAUAUUACUGUUAAACACAGUAAAAUUAACUAUACUACAGUUUAAAACAUAAUAUUGCUAUAUACAUUUCGAGCACAAUAAUAUUAAGACAACAAAAGUCAUUUUUUUUAUAAUAUAGUAAUAUCAAUAUGUUGACCGUUCAACAAAUGUUAACAUAAUAAAAGGCCAAAAGAAUCAAUUUCACUGUGAUUGACAGUAAUAUUACUAUAACAAUAGUAAUAUUACUGUCAACCACUGUAAUAUUAUUGUUUUACAGUAAUAUUAUAAAUACAAUAAUAGACAAUAAUAUUAUUACGUGACUCCGUGAAUAACUCAAACAAAACAAAAAAACCAAAAUAAAAUAAAAUAAUAUUGAUGUGGUUGACAGUAAUAUUAUUGUGUUUACAGUUAAUUUACUGUCAACAACAAUAAUAUAAUUACGUUUACUUGUCAACAAAUCAAACAAAAUUUAAAAAAUAAAAUAAUAAUAAUAUUGUCGUUGACUCUAACUGUAUUGUCAACGGCAGUACAAUUACGUUAAUGUAAUGUAAGUGACAAUAUAAUUACGUUAAUGUACUGUCAGUGACAGUAUAAUUACUUUAAUUUACUGUCAGUGACAGUAUAAUUACGUUAAUUUACAGUCAGUGACAGUAUAAUUAUCGUUAAUGACAACACAAUCGCGGUCAACGUUAAGCGACGGGCGUAAAAAAAAAUAUUUAUAAAAAAUCAACGUCGGAAUCUGGCGGCGAAAAAAACAGACUAGAAAAAAAAAAGUCAACGGCGGAAAUCUGGCGGCAGAAAAACAGACCAGAAAAAAAAUAAAAAAAAAAGUCAACGCCGGAGACCGGCGGCUAAAAACUAUUUUUUGAAAAAAAAGGUUUUUUAAGAAAAAGUCAAAAUUGGAUUUUUGUGCUCAAAAUUAAUUAAAUUGUGGUUACAAUAAAAAAAUAUGUGUAAAUGGUUGGGGGUAAUUUUGUCAUAUACAUGAAUUUUUCCUUUAUUUAUAAUAAAUAUUAAAUGGAUGAGCUUAUUGGCGAAAGAGAUAUAACCUCUAAAUCUAGAAUAAUAAAGAUGAUUGGUUAGGGACUUAUGCACAAAAACCGAUUAAAUUAUAAUACCUUAAUUAUUUUUCUUUUAUUGAAAGGAAUAGCUGAAAGAACAAUUAAAUUAGACAUCUAAAAAUACUUGUUGAAUAAUGCAACAUUUUAAAAUUCAAAGAUAUUAAAUAACAUCUAAUUGUUGUUGGACAAAUUAAUCAAAAUUGUCACAUAAGUUUUAAGAAAUAAAUACAUAACUAACAGUAAUCUUAAGUAUUUAAAUUUAUUCUAGUUCAUUAAUUACUUAAAAUAUAUUUCCAUUCAUUAUUAUAUAAUAUAUAUUACUUUUUAAUUAUUUUUCAAUAAUUUAAUUUUAGUUACUUUUCAAUUUUAUAUAAUGCAAUAAUUAUUUGAUUAUUAUAUUUAUUAUGUAAAUUUUAAAAUAUAAAAUAAUUGAUGUUAAGGGAAUAAGUUAUAUAAAUUAUAACUUAAUGAGGUAAAUGUUAUGUAAGCUAUACUUCAGGAAUGUUAAGUGUAUAUUUAACCCGAACAAAUAAACAAAAACAAUGGCAGGUCCCAUUGGCCAUCUAACUUGAACACAUUUCACAAAACCACCAUGAUGAUCCUAAAGUAUAGCUCACCGGAGUAGUAUAGAAAACGAGUUGGGAAAGCAAAGCGGAUCAGUAGCUUGACAACUCGAUGAUCCUGAGGUCCCUGCGAAAAGAGCACACGUGAACUAAGCCGGGGGUUGAUCCGGCGGAAACCCCUUCGACGCUCAAGUUAGAUGUACGGAUCGUAGAGAUAAUAGAGAGAAUAAAGCUCGUAGUCGAUUGUGAAUAAUUAGAACGUACCUUUACGAAUGAGUAAAAUAUCUAUUUAUAUAUCGUUGAAUGUGUUGGGCUUACUUUGUUGGGCCCAAGCCUUAUUUUGAAGGAGCUUGGGCUUUCGUGUAAUGGGCCCACAUGUAUGUGAUUGGGCUUUCGUGUAGUGGGCCUAAUUGGUAGAUAAAUUUGAGGGCCCAUUUAGGUAUAUCAUUAAGCCCCCCAACUCUCGAGUUGAGACGGGGACGUGUGUAAAGGGAUCCGGGUCGUGUCGAGAGUUAAUUGCGGCGUUGAUUGAAUUGUUUCCGUUGGCGGUGAAUUAAUUCCUUAAUUUAAAUAAGGGAUAUUUGUAUUUAUUUGGCAGCGAGGUAUAUAUUUAAGGGUUUUAAAUAUUAUACCAAGGCCAGAUAAAUAGACUCCUUUUGCGGUGGAGAGUAUUAAACUUCAACUCUUGCAAUAAAUAUGGGUAUAUUUUUUUAACUCUAGGUCUUCUGCUGUGCUAUUUUUCUCUUGAAAUUUUUUUUUGUGGUAGAGUAGAAUUUUUUGUUUCUUGAUUGUUUCUUCGGGGUAAAAAUAUUCGUAAUGUCGAACCCGGGUAAGUCGAAAUCUUUACGAAUUAAACUCCGAGAUCCCGUUGAAGGGGUCGAGAAAACCUUUGGUAAGGUGGGUAUAGAACGCGAGAAGGUAGUAGAAACAGAUGCGGAAGUCGGAUUCGCGUCGGCUAGUGGACGAAUCGAAGCGAAAAGGAGGGUGGUGGGUAGGGUUGGUGCGGCUGCCGGCUCGAGCUGCGGAGCCAACCCUCCUCAUCUGUGUGGGGGUUUUCGUUCUGAGCUUGGUGGUGAGCCGAGCCGAGCCGCUGAUGUGGAGAUUGGCCCAACUUCCGAGGAGAGGAGAGAGAACAGAGCUGCUGAGGUGGGGGCGCGUUUGGCACGCCGUUCGAUGGUCGCACGCGCGCGUCGAUGGAGGAGAGAGAAGGGGCGCGCGCACGUCGGUUGGAGGGUUAGGUGGACGCGCGCGCGCCAUUGGUCUACGUGUUGGUGUUGAUGCGCGCGUGGAGGGGCGGAGUGUGCAGCGACGCGCGCGCGCGUCAGGUGGGCCGAGUGAAGCGGACGCGCGUGCGGGGGCGAGUGGGGAGGGGCCACGUGUCUCCGUGGCAGGUGAUAACGCGCGCGCGCGUGAAUCAAGCCCUCUUGGGGUCACGCGCGCGCGUGCGGGCGCGUUGGAGGUCCGUUUUCGACCAGAUUCGAGCGAAAUCGAUGAGCGAAUCGUCAAGGGUGUUGAUGCACGUGGUUUUUUAAAUGGGGGUAGUUUUGAAAGGCGAGAAAUCAUUGAAUCUUGGAGUGACGAUGUUGAAGCGAGUAUUCACGUUAGUGAGCAAGUAGAUGGAGUUGUGGCUAGUGGGCAUUAUUCUCGACGCCAAAUCGUGGAUUUUGGGAGCGAUAGUGAUGAUUCUGAUCAAGCCCCUUUGGCGAGUGAUCAUACGGUGCCAAGUAGUGAAGUUGAGCUGACGGAUGAAGAGGAGGAGGAAGAUGAUAUUCCACCGGGUGAUGUUGAGGUUGAUAGGAGGAGGCAAAAGAAAAAGAAGCCCAUUAAUUUGGACUUAGUUAAUUUUGAUAGUGCAUUGACGGAAGAGCAAUUGUGAUUGAUUCGUCAUUUAUCUGGAGCGCCAAGCAAUGUUGAGUUGUUGCUGCCUCAGAAAGGGGACCGUUUGUAUUCGCCACCCGAUGGGUUUCAUACGGUGUUUUUGGCGUACUUGAUGGUACCUCUCAGAUUACACCGCAUCCGACGUUGUUGAAGGUUUGUGAGGAAUUCAAGAUAGGGUACAAUCAGUUAACUCCGACUGCAAUUCUUAUGUUCGAAGCGUUUCACCAUAGGGUAUCUCUAGUGGGUUUGCCUGUGACCGUGAGUUUGUUCAAGGCGUUAUUUACGUUACAUCGACCCAAUAAGACGCCUUUCUUUUGUUUUCAUCCUCGCGUUCCUUACCAAUUCGUGAAGAGUGUGAAGUUAUCUUUGGGGAAAUGGAAGACCCAUUUUUUUUAUGUGAGGGCUCCCACUUUUGACGUUCCCGUAGUUUGGAAUCCUACGUGCGAGAGUUUCAUGAUAACUGCAAAUAUGGCGAAAAGGAUUGAAGAGUCGGGAUUGUGUGAUGUGGAAUUUGAUCCGAGGGUUUUGAUACCAAAGGCGAAGGGUCAGCACCGUAUAUCCUUUUGUUGCCUUGACUUGUGUGUGUAUUUUUUUUUUUUUUUUUUUUUUUUGUUGUAGUUCUUUGGUAGUGUGUACCUUAUGUUUCUUAUGUGUUUGUUAUCUUUUGUAGAUGGGGGUAUCACCUUUGCGGCACUUCGAGCUAAAGCGAAUGGGACGUCGAAGAAGGCAUCGAGGAAGGUACCCUCUACGUUGGGAGGUCCUUCAAGUGGUUUGCUGCGUGAGGAGGUCCAUGUAGAGACUCCUCGAGUAGUCGCAGAUGACCAUAGCAGUGCUGGUGAAGUGGAGGGGAGUCCACCGAUGAGGGAUCGUGGCAAGGGAAAGAGGGUGGAUACCGAGUAUGUGGCUGUGCCUAAGCGUCCCCGGGUAGACCCAGAGGAGACCUAUGCUUUCCAUGGUGGGGAAGGGAAAUAAUUGUUUACAUAUGGCGUGAAUCGUGACGGUAAGGAGUCGUACUGGGAUGUGUCGGACUAUGAUCUGCCGAUGUUGAGUACCGAGGGUUUUGUUCGGGAGUAUGACCGUGCUCGGAUGUCCGGUAAGGGUCCUUCUCACAUGCUGGAGUUAGCUGGUGGGGACAUCUUUCGGGUGAGUACUUGUUUAUUUAAAACAAGGUUUUAUGUUUUAUUCCCUCUUGACUUGCGAAAAAUAUUGUUAUUAUUUUUAUUUUUUAUAUAGUUGGUAGCGACUUGGAGAUAUCUCAUGGAGUAUGGUAGGAAUGUGGAAGCUAGGAAGGAAGAGGAGCGGGCUCGAAGUCAGGCACGUGAGGACGAACUUCUAAGCCAGUUGGAAGUAGCGCGGUCCGAACUUGCUCAACGCUCGGAAGAGCUUGUUCGGAUGACAGAGGAGCUUGUUCAGAAGACAGAGGAGCUCGAGGUUAUCCGAGGUGAUGCGAAGGCGUAUAAGGAUGAUGUUCACAAGUUGAACGAAUGCUACGACCAGCUCAAGGAGAAAUACGAAGUCGAGAAGGCGACGGGGAAGAGGUUCCUCACGACAUUAGGUGGUGCGGUUUACAAGGAGUCCAUUGUGGAGGAGACCAAGGCUAAUUUUCGAGGUAGUGAUGAGUGUGCUGCUAUGAUUGAGGAGCAUGCAUUGGCUGUGGUUUAUAAGCCAUUAGUGCGUGCUUGUCGCAAAUAUCUGCGCGAUGCGGGUGGGAUCAGCGAGGAAGUGAUUCGUGGGAUGGAAGCUGGCAUAUCCGAUGAAGAGGAGGAUGAGAUAGAUGUCAAUGGGACGGACACAGAGCUUGUGAAUGACAUGGUUGCGGAUGAUUCCACCGUGGGUGCGUCUUCCGCUCGUGGUAGGGGAGUUUAGACUUAUUUGUUAGGAUAGUUAUCUUUCCCCUUUUAUUUUUAUUAUUAUUAUUAUUAUUUUUAUUUUUUAUUUUUUUUGCUGAUGUAGAUGGGUAUGUCCACUACUAUUCCGUUUGAAUUUCUUCCUCGUUUGACUUUGAAGUUUAAUAUUUCGAUUUAUUUAUUUUGACAUUGUCAAGGAUUAAUGUGUUGCUUCUAUGUAUUUACAUUAGCAUUAUACGCGAUGUACUUGAGGAGGGGAUCAGUCUCCCAAGGUUUUUGUUAAGGGUCAUGCCCUUUGUUUGGACCACUUGGGUCUAUAAUAUUUUUGUCCGUGGCCACGUUUUAAAAGUAGCACCUCGUGAAACAGCUAAAGGGACUUAGAUAAUCCAGCUGGCCAGGCUAUAUGGAUUAUGUAAAUCUCUCUAAGUGUUUGUAGGGUGGUAUUGAAUUAGACUCAUGAGAAGAGGUAGUUUGUAUCGAUGUAAAGGCAUAGAGAGUAAAACGAAAAUUGUGAUUUAUUCGAUGAUAGCAAAUGAGAAUUGUUACAGGCCCAUGUGAGGCGAAGGUAAACAACUACUACUGAAGCAAAUAAAUGGCUUAAUUCCACUUUGCACCCUUGAAAUAUACCAUUUUGGCACUUUGCACCCUCGAAAAAUAAUAAUAGCAUUUUGCACCCUCAAAACAUAAUAAAUCAUUCACAAUGCACCCUCAAUUGAAUAAUAAAGGCAAUUUUAUUUUUCAUUGGUGUUUUUCUUUUUGGGGUACAAAAUAAAAAAAAAAUUGUUGUUUUCUUGAACCUCAAACCUAAUUUCGAGCGGACAAAGUGCGAAAAAAAAAAAUUACACCGGAUUAUUUAAAAAAAAAACUACAUUAUCUUACAAAAGAAAAAUAAAAAAAAUAAUCUUUUAUCACUAAAUUAUUCGAUUGUGGAUCUUUUAUGUCACUGUUUGUAAAAUAUUAGGUGAAAAUAUUUGGAAGGAAAAAUAAUUUUCAGAUAACUUGAUAACGUAAUAGCUGAAUGAUUUUUUUCGUAAAAUAUUUUAUUUUGAUAAAACAAUAUAAUUUUUAAAUAUGUUGAUGGAAUGUAUUUUUAUUUUUGAACUUUAUAGUUUCAAAAUGAUUGAUGAAUAAAAAAAAUAUUUGACAUUUGGCAUCCUAAAAAAAUAUCACUACAAAUAUUAAAUUUAUAGUUUUUAGCUUUAAAAAAUCAUUUGGGGUGCAUUAUGCAUGAUUUAUUGUAUUUCGAGGGUGCAAAGUGCUAUUAAUUUAUUUUGAGGGUGUAAAGUGCCAAAAUGGUAUAUUUCAAGGGUGCAAAGUGGAAUUAAGCCCAAAUAAAUUGACUUGAUAACAAAAAAUUUCUAAGUGAUUGUACUAUACUUGUUCUUCUUCCACGUAUUCUUUGUACUCGUUCGUUUCGCUGUGCUGAUGGUAGGCUGUCUUCUUUUGGUGUCUCUAUGCCUGUCAAGUAUAAUUGAGAAAAAGAGAAUUUGUUUAACUACUUGUAUUGAGGAUUUAGUAAUUGAAGCUAUGGUGAUGUGUAUUGCUCUUUCGCGUACCCUACUACGGGGGUUGAUAUUUCUUUCUCGCACUCCAAGAUAUGAAAUGAAUUCGUGAGUUGCUGCGAGUUGCUAUGCGAUCAUGCCUGCUAGUGGGAUUAUUUUGUUGCGUUAGUAAUCGUAAAGACGAUUAUCUGUGUGUUGAAUUCGAGUAGAAGUAUAGUUACCCUUGGCGAUGUGGUAUGGAGUGUCUUCGAUCAAGCAGCGCAUUGAUUGAUUCAUAUACAUCCUCACGUAGUAGGUUCUCGACCUGUAAGGAGACGAUGGGAUGUGAUUAUAAAUUUCUGAUGUAAGUAAAAAUUACUAGCCCCCCAACUUAGGUGGGACGUUAACGCACCUUGUUAUGUGGUGUCAAAUUUCCAACCAUGUAGAAGCAGCUUUACAAGACGAGUGACGUGGAAGGUCGUGGAGCCUGCAUGGGUGACAAUUCGUAAGUAACUUUCCUGUAUAAGAAAUAUGGGUGAUGAUCUCAACUGAUUCUAAAGUAAGGUAAAUGUAUACCUUAGGCGUAGAACCGUUUGAUGUUCCCUAUAUUCCAUGUUCUGGGUAUAGGGUGUCCGUCAAUGUUCUCGAGGCGAUAUGCUCCAGUGUUGACCACCUUUGUUAUUUUAUACGGUCCUUCCCACUUUGGGUCGAGCUUACCGAUGAGGUGAGAGUCUUCAGCUUUUCGGAGGACUAAAUCUCCAACUUGAAAGGAGCGAGGGCGGACCUUUGAGUUAUAUGCCUUGGCCAUGCGUGAUUUAUACAUCUGUUGUCGGAUGUAUGCAAUCUCACGUAACUCAUCUACGAGGUCUAGGCUUCCCCGCAUAGCCUCUUCAUUAGCUGCUGGUUCAUAGUUGGUGAUUCGCCAAGAUGGUUCACCUAUUUCCACGGGUGCGAUAGCCUCCGUGUCGAAAGCUAGAUUGAAAGGCGACUCCCCAGUUGCUGCGCGUGGGGUUGUGCGAUAAGCCCAUAGGGCGUUAGGCAAUUCCUCCACCCAUUUUCCUUUGGCACUUCCUAGCCUUGUCUUAAGGUGUUGGAGGAUGGUGCGAUUUGUAACCUCCGUCUGGCCGUUAGCUUGUGGAUUUGCUACCGAUGUGAAGAACUGUUUGAUAUCCAAGCCGAGGCACCAAUUUUUUACUUUGUCACCGCAAAAUUGGGUUCCAUUAUCCGAGAUGAUGGAACGUGGGAUUCCGAAGCGGCACACGAUAUUUUUCCAUAGAAAUUGGAUGACUUCUUCUUCUCGGAUGCGUGCUAAGGGUUCAGCUUCCACCUAUUUGGUGAAGUAGUCCACUGCUACAAUGAGGUAUUUGCGUCCUCCUGUGGCGGGCGGGAAUGGUCCAACUAAAUCCAUCCCCCAUUGGGCGAAAGGGAUGGGGCUGUCAAUUGGUUGCAUUAAUGCCGCUGGCAGGUGAGUGAUAUUGGCAUGCUCUUGGCAGGGCUUACAUUUCCGGACUAAUUUCUUCGCGUCUUCAUGCAUUGUUGGCCAAUAGUAGCCUUGCCUCAGUAGUUUGAGAGCUAAGGUCCUCCCGCUCAAGUGAUUGCCGCAGAUGCCUUCGUGUACUUAUCUAAGUACGUAAUCUGCUGUGGUCGGGUCGAGGCACUUGAGAUAGGGGAAUGAGAACCCUCGUUUGUAUAAUUCUUCUCCCACUAUGACGAAGCGAGCGGCUCUCGUCUUUAUCUUUCGUGCUUCGGUGGGAUCCGUUGGAAGUUCUCCCUUCUUGAGAUACUUCAGGAUUGGAGUGAACCAGCAUGGUUCAUCCUCCUCGGUGUACUGUACUUCAGUGGGUGAAGUUAUCUCCGGCUGAGGUGAGGUGAGUAGCGUCACCUUCCGACUUCCGAUGCUAGCCAUGGAGCUUCCAAGCCUAGCUAAUUUGUCAGCGUGGACGUUAUUGAAGCGAGGUACUUGUCUUAUCUCGUAGCUCUCGAAUUUAGACAAGAGAGUGUGCGCGAGAGCUAAAUAUUUCGCCAUGGUGUCUUCUUUAGCCUCGUAAGUUCCGAGUAUUUGAUUAAAGACGAGCUGAGAAUCGCUUUGGAUUAGGAGCUUGCGCGCUCCGGCUGCUAGGGCGAGGCGGAUUUCCGCUAUCAGUGCUCCGUAUUCAGCAACGUUGUUUGAGGCUGUGAAUUCGAAUCGUUGAGCAUAUUCGAAUUCGUCUCCGUCGGGGUUCGUUAGGACGAUACCCGCUCCACCUCAUGUGGCAGUGGAAGAUCCAUCGACGCUGACGGACCAAGUAGGUAGAGAGGUGCUUUCUUCUACAGAGGUCAUUUCGACUAGAAAGUCAGCCAAUACUUGCGCUUUGAUAGUUGGGCGGGGUUUGAAUUCCACUCCAUAUUCACUUAGCUCUAUCGCCCAUUUUGCUAAUCGCCCGGAUGUUUCGGGACUUCUUAGUAUUUGCUUCAGAGGAUAAUUGGUGAGGACCACCACCUGAUGUGACUGGAAGUAAGGUCGAAGCUUCCGAGCUGCGUUGAUGAGGGCGAGAGCGAGUUUCUCCAUGUUGGUGUAGCAUUGUUCAGCUCCUUGGAGGGCACGACUUAUGUAGUAUAUGGGUUGGUGGCCUUUUCCUCCAUCUCGGAUGAGGACUGCGCUGAUGGCAUCAGCCGAGGUAGCUAAGUACAGCAUGAGGGUGUCUCCCGGCUGUGGUUUUGUGAGCAAGGGUGGUGAUGCGAGAUAUGACUUUAACUCCAUGAAGGCCUUUUGACAUGCCUCAUCCCACUCGAACUUUUUUCCUCCCCUUAAAAUCUUGAAAAAGGGGAGAGCCUUGUUCGUUGAUCUUGAAAUGAAUCUGUUCAGGGAUGCCAAACAGCCGUUGAGCUGUUGAACUUUCUUGAUCGAUGUUGGCGGAGCCAUGGAGGUGAUUGCUUCGAUUUUCGCGGGAUUAGCUUCGAUUCCUCGCUGCAAAAUCAUAUAACCCAAAAAUUUGCCUCCUCGAACUCCGAAUGAACAUUUGAGGGGGUUGAGCUUCAUCUUAUAUUUUCGCAGGGUGGCGAAACACUGAUCCAGAUCCGUUAGGUGGUCCGAGACCUUAACACUUUUGACGAGCAUGUCGUCGAUGUACACCUCCAUAUUUUUACCGAUCUGAUCUGCGAACAUUUUGUUCACUAGACGCUGGUAGGUGGCUCCUGCGUUUUUCAACCCGAAGGGCAUGACUUGAUAGCAGUAGAUGCCUUGGUCAGUGAUGAAACUAGCCCUCUCUUGAUCUUCCAGCGCAAGAAAGAUCUGGUUAUACCCUUGGUAUGCAUCGAGGAAGCUGAGGAGCUCGCAUCUUGAGGUCGAAUCGAUGAGUUGAUCGAUUCUAGGUAGAGGAAAAGGGUCCUUAGGACAAGCUUUGUUGAGGUCGGUGAAGUCUACGCAUAGUCUCCACUUGCCCCCGGGUUUGGGAACGAGUACUACGUUCGACAACCAUUCAGGAUACUGAACUGGUCGUAUGUGGCCCGCUUCAAGGAGUUUUGCCACUUCCGCUUUGAUAUGCUUGUUGCGCUCGGGACCAAAUGUCCGUUUCCUCUGUUUGAUUGGCUUCAACCUCUUGUCGACGUUAAGCCGAUGUAGGGCUACCUGAGGGGGAAUGCCCGACAAAUCUUGGGCUUUGUAUGGGAACACAUCUCCAUUGUGUCGUAGGAAGUUGAUUAGCUGCUGCUCCGUGGUUGGAUCUAAAUCAGAUCCUAUUUGUACGAGCUUGGAGGUAUGUCCGGGAAUGAGCUCUAUGAGCUUAAGUUCUUCGACGGCUGCUAGCUUGAUGCUGUCAUCAGGUACGCUGAUGAUGAUUUCUUUAUUAUCCUCGAUGAUCGCAUUGACCCAUUUCCGUUUGUCGGAUUUUUGGGUGUCGUCUCCUUUUCCGGGUGGUUUAGGCUUCUUGGAAGGUUCUCGUAGGGCCCUUGCAUAGCACUCUCAAGCGAGACGUCUAUCUCCAAGUACUUCCCCCAUUCCAUAGGGAGUAGGGAACUUCCACUUCUGAUGAUAGGAAGAAGGCACUGACUUGAAUGUGUGGAUUGCUGGCCUCCCCAGAAUGAUGUUGUAGGGUGAUGGCCUGUCGACGACGAGGAACUUGAUUAUUUUUGUGAUUCGACAGGGAUCUUCCCCUAAAGAAACAGGCAGCUCCACUUCUCCCAUGGACAAAAUGCCUUCUCCUGUGAACCCUUUCAGGGGUGUGGAGAUGGGACUAAAACGGGCAUUAUCUAUGCCUAGCUGCUUAAAAGCGUGGAGGUACAUGAUGUCAGCUGAGCUCCCACCGUCCACUAAUAUCUUCUUGACCAAGAAGUUGGCCACCGUUGUUGUUACUACCAAUGCAUCGACAUGGUCUUCAUCUGGACCUUCAAGGUCAAAGGAGUUGAAUACUAUGAUGUGAUCAGGUCUUCGUAUUUGAUAUAUGCGUGCGGAUGGAGCAGCAUAUUCUUGAUUCAUGCGUGCUGAUCGAGCGAGGGUGCGUCUUGCAUUUUGUGAAUCGCCCCCCGCCGGUCCUCCGGAGAUAAAGGAGAUGAUUCCCCGAGUAGGCUGGUUAUCGUUGUUAUCUAGGUCACGUCGAUGACCCCCAUCCUCUCGUCUUUGUUGUUGAUCUCGAUUGUUAUCUCGGCGUGGAGGAUCAUCACGGCGCUUAUUUCGCGGCUUAUCAAUGUAUUCGCCUAAAUGGCCCUGUUUGACCAGCCUCUCAAUCGCCACCUUGAGUUGUGCACAUUUCUCCGUAGUAUGCCCUAUGUCCUUAUGGAAUCGACAAUAACGAUCCGACUUUUCUCGCUUUGCAUUUGGUUGCAUAGGACGUGGAGGCUCUGCUAAACCUCUCUGUUCUAUCACGUGAAGGAUUUCAGUGAGGCGAGCGUUUAGCGGAGUGAACCUGUUGUAGGAGGAGGAGGGUUGGCCUUGAGGUGGAAGUGUUGGGCGUCGGUCAUCGCGCCUCCUAUUGUCCUGACGGUCAUCUUCCGUUUUCCUUUUAGGAGGAGCAUGGGUAGAAGCUUCAUCUAUUCGGACGUACUUUUCGGCUCGAUUCAGCAACUCCUCUAGGUUGCCUGGGGGUCUUCCGGCGAUAGAUUCCUUGAAUCUUCCCGGUUUCAAGUUCUGCUGCAUAAUCCCGGAGAGCAUGUCUUGCCCUACACUGGGGACUUCAUGGACGGCUUCUACGAAACGCUUAAUGUAGUUGCGGAGUGUUUCGUUAUCUCUCUGUACUACAGAGAAAAGAUGAGCUGGGGUCUUGGCAUAUUGUUUGUUGAUGGCGAAUUGGUUGGUGAACCGGGUCGACAAUCGAGCGAAUGUGUCAACGGACCCUAUGGGUAGCGAGUUGAACCAAUUCAUUGCCCUCUUGGAGAGGGUGGUGCGGAACAUUUUGCACAUCGCAGCAUCCGUCGGGCCAUAUAAAUCCGCCAUGGCACUGAAUUUCUCUAUAUGCUCAUGUGGGUCGGUGGUCCCUUCAAAUUGAGGUAACCCCGAGAUCUUCACUCCUUGAGGUAAUACCUCGUUGAGAAUGUCUAUGGUGAAGGGACUGCAUCUUGUUGGGACAGGCAUUAUUUCACCCAUUAGAUUAUUAGGUUGGGGGAAAAGAUUUUGGCGAGACAUUCUGCUGUUUACCUCGCCUUCUCCCUCAUUAAAGAGAGGGAUUCUCUGUGGUGACGCAUUCCCCUGUGGGGGUGAGCGCUGACGCUGCUGUCUGGGCUGUGCCCCUCUGUGGUUAGUAGAUAGCUGUACUCGGGACCGUGGAUCCGAGGUAGAGGAGGAGACACUUAUUUGAUUCUGGAUUGGCGGUGGGGCCACAGGUGGCGCUACAGGUGGAGCUGGCGCUGGUAUCGCAUUGGGAGCGUUUGCUCCCAUCGUGGCGAUAUAUUGAGUUACGGCCUCCGUGGCGGCGCGAGUCGAGGCUUCUGCUAUCAUGCGUUGGAGCGCGUCCUCGGUUAUUUGAACCGUUCGAGGAGCAGGGAGUGGUGGAUCGGCGAGUGGUGGGUCCCGAGGGGGGAUCACCUGAACCUCGCGAGAUGGAUCUGCAGCACGUGGAGGAGCUGGCUCCGUGGCACGUGGAGGAAAUGGCUCCGCGGUACGUGGAGGAGGUGGCAUGCCAGAUCCUCCACGGACUGGGAGGUUAUUAGCUGUGUCAUUUUCUCUCCGAGCUGACGCCUCAUGAGGAUCUUGUUGGCUACGUGAUUAGGUUUGCAUCGUUCCCACAGACGGCGCCAAAAUGAUGAUGCUAAAGUAUAGCUCACCGGAGUAGUAUAGAAAACGAGCUGGGAAAGCAAAUCGGAUCAGUAGCUUGACAACUCGAUGAUCCUGAGGUCCCUGCGAAAAGAGCACGCGUGAACUAAGCCGGGGGUUGAUCCGGCGGAAACCCCUCCGACGCUCAAGUCAGAUGUACAGAUCGUAUAGAUAAUAGAGAGAAUAAAGUUCGUAGUCGAUUGUGAAUAAUUAGAACGUACCUUUACGAAUGAGUAAAAUAUCUAUUUAUAUAUCGUUGAAUGAGUUGGGCUUACUUUGUUGGGCCCAAACCUUAUUUUGAAGGAGCUUGGGCUUUCGUGUAAUGGGCCCACAUGUAUGUGAUUGGGCUUUCGUGUAGCGGGCCUAAUUGGUAGAUAAAUUUGAGGGCCCAUUGGGCCGGCCUAUUUAGGUAUAUCACACCACAACCACCGUUCACCACCUUCCACCACCCACCGCACAACCACCGCUCACAAUUUUCCAACCCCCAAUUGUUUAAUUCCUUUUACAAACCCGCCACAUGCAACCACCGUUCUCCACAUUCCACCACCCACCAAAACAAAUUAAAAGUUUGUCAUCUUCUAGAAACAUUAUAGAAUUAUCUACUAAAUGAAACAUUAUAAAAUAAAUAAAUAUAUAUCUUUAUAUAUUAUAUAGUUGCCAAACAAAUCUCCUCCACCCCACUCCUCGGUUGCCAUGAUCACUUUGCUUGAAACCUGCCGGAUUCCACCUCCGCCUAGCUCCGCCGAGCUACAACUCCCACUUACCUUCUUCGACAUCGUCUGGAUUCACUUCCAACCCAUUCGCCGCCUUCUCUUCUACGAAUAUUCCUGCUCCGAAUCACAUUUCCUAGAAACCCUAGUUCCAAACCUCAAAGAAUCACUCUCCCUCACUCUCAAACACUAUCUCCCACUCGCCGGAAACCUCCUCUACCCUCUAAACACCGACCACCAAAAGCCCCUCCUCCGCUACGUCUCCGGCGACUCCGUCUCCCUCAAAAUCGCCGUCUCCGGCGGCAACUUCGACGACCUCGUCGGAAACCACCCACGCGACGCCGAUCAGUUCUACGACUUCGUCCCGGAAAUCCCGCCGGCAACCGAAGAUUCCGAGUACAAAAUAGUCCCGGUUUUCGCUCUGCAAGUGACGCUAUUUCCCGGCCGGGGAAUUUGCAUCGGCUUCUCCAAUCUCCACAGCCUCGGCGAUGCAAGAUCGAUCGUCGGCUUUAUGUGUGCAUGGGCUUCCAUGUGCAAACUAUCCAAAGAAUCAGAAUCUCUGCCGAUUUUCGACAAAUCCGUGAUCCACGAUCCUCUCGGAAUCGACAGAAUAUUCUGGAAAGCAGUGAAGAAUAUUCCAUUCAAGUCAUCAUAUUCUUUCCCACUACCCACGAACAAGGUCAGAGCCACGUACACUCUGCGCCAAUCCGAUAUCGAAAAGCUCAAAGCUUCCGUCUUGGCCAAGAAACCCGAUUUAGGCCACGUGUCGUCUUUUGUCGUGACAGCGUCCUACAUUUGGACAACCUUGUUGAAAUCAUCUGCAGAUGAUCGCGUACAAGAUCAGAAUAUUCACGAGUACUUUGUAUUCUCCGUAGACAUACGCGAGCGGAUGAAUCCAGCAGUGCCGACAAAUUACUUCGGCAAUUGCCUUUGCGCGGGCAUAACGGAAAUCGAGCACGAAAGACUCGUCGGUGAAGAAGGGAUUGCGGUUUCUGCUGAGUUCAUGUCUGAACUCAUCAGGAACCGGAUGAACAAUAAAGACGAGGUUCUGAAAGGAGCCGAGAAUUGGAUGGAUGGGAGUAGGAACAAAGUGUGGGCCCGGGCUGUUGGAGUUUCUGGUUCGCCGAAAUUCGAUUUGUGUAGUGCGGAUUUCGGAUGGGGAAAUGCGAGGAAGCUCGAAGUUGUGUCGAUUGAUGGACAAAGGUGCUCGAUUUCGUUGUGUAAGUCGAAUGAUUCCGAGGGAGGAUUGGAGAUUGGUUUGUCUUUGCCUAAGGAG
rnacentral:lncRNA from 1 species